GGAGGGCAGGUAUUUGGUUUGUCCAGAGCGACACUUGCAGGGAUUCUAGGAGUUGAUUUGGUUGACGUCUCCCUGCACGAGAUGGUAUAUGGUGAUGCAGAUCCACCGCGCAGAGCCAUGAUUGGCGGGAUUGCACCUUCUCACGAGGCAAUCUCACAGUGCUUCCGCCAGCCCUUCCCGGCUUCUUAUGCCAGAGUCCCGAGCCUACUGACCCCAGAGGCCUACGCUGUUCACAUGGCACUCCGGAGGACUUUGCUCCCGAGGAGUGGCUACCCAGAGGGGUUCACAGGACUGCAGCAGCUGCUACUUCUUCACAUACUCACUCAUGAGCCAUUUGACAUAGUUGAUUUUAUCUUGGCUGAAAUUGAGGAUGUCAUCACUGAUGGGAUGGGGGUCGUGCGUCAGUUUCCAUAUGCUCACUGGAUCAGUUUUAUCUGCUCUAUGAUUGUGCCAGCUGAGUCACCAGUCAGUGCAGUAUACCGGCAGGACGAGGUCCCCUGGUUUCCAGUUUACCGACCGACUGCACCCUCAGACAGGAGGAGAGGGAGACAGGCAGAUCGUGCUGCCAUGGCAUGGCUGUCACCUGAGGUUCAGGCCCGUGUUGCCCAGGAGGACGAGGCACUGCUGGCCGCAGAGGCACAGCUUCCCGGAGGAGAUGAUGAGAUACAUUGGUCAGACUUAGAGUCAGACUCCUCCGAGGACGAGGAGUACUUCCCUGCACCUGCUCCAGCGAGUCAUGAUCACGAGGCAGGAGGUUCCGGAGAGCCAGCUCCAGUGACAGCUGCUGCUACUACUGUCUCAGAGUCACAGGUGUCUCAGCCGUCUGAGCUCACCGCACUUCUGCAGCAGCUGGUCACAUAGCAGAGAGAGGACCGUCGCGCUCAGGAGGAGGCCAGGAGAGCCCAUGAGGCCCAGCUUGCAGAGAUACAGAGAGAGGCCGCCCGAGAGCGAGCUACUACAGAGGAGCGUUUUGUCGGCCUCAUUGACAGAGUAUCUCAGAGGACAGACGCUCAGUUUCAGCAGAUGCAGCAGGGCAUGAUGGCGAUGUUCGGGAUGAUCUCACAGCUAUACUCUCACACCGGACUCGCCCCACAGCAGCCAGGACAGACAGGCCUUCAGAGUGCUGGAGCACCACCACUUGCAGUUACACCAGCUCCAGCCUCCACUGCUCCAGCUUCUUCCGCGACCCCAGAGAUCAUGUUCUCAUUGUCAGCACUGCUUGGGUCUGCGAGUCGUCCCCUCUUCUCUCCUCUGCCUGCGACCUCACUCUUGCAGGAGUCACCCUCUGCAGUGCAGUCUGCCGGCCUCCCCGUCGUUCCACAGACACUACCUUCAGGGGGAGGAGGAGAGGUCUCUUUGGUUCAGCAGUCGUCACAGCCGGCAGCAUCAGCACUCACUACUUCAGAUGUUGACACAUCCUCUGCUGAGCCGGCUACUACAUCGACGGACCUUCCUCCAGGCAGCGCCAGCACACGAGCCUCCACGACAGCUACUCCUCCGGUCAGCUCAGCACCAGCAGGCACUUCAGAUCAGCAGCUACCUUCAGUCUCCGAGGAUCCACCGUCCGACGACGACGACGUCGAUGACCCAGAUCGCUUUCUUGCAGUACCUCGUCAGCUGGAUCCGUAGAUCGCUCCUUUUUGGGCUUUGAUGCCAAAGGGGGAGAGGGAGUCAGGGGGAGAGGGAGUCAGGGGGAGGGUAGCAUUAGAGAGAGCUCGUGAUCAGGACUUUGUUGUUUCUUAUUGUAUUAUAUAUUGUAUUAUAUUUGGUUUUAGUUCAUGGAUAUGUACAUUUGUCAUUUGAGCAUGCUGAGCUUUUGAGACAUAUCUAUGGAUUUCGUUUGAGCCAUUGAGCUCUUUGGUUCUUUUCUUUCGAGUUUGCUUGUGUUUAUUCUUGGCAUAUCUUUCUCGCUCUCUCGUUAUUUAUGUCUGUGUUGUCAUCAAUCACCAAAAAGGGGGAGAUUGUAAGCAUCUAGGCCCUUAAGGUAUGUUUCGGUGAUUAAUGACAACCAUUAUUGUGACUAAUGAGUUUGUGCAGAUUUUUAGAUCAUUAUCGCUCAUUUGGUUAUAUGUCAAAAGAGGCCCCUAAUUUUCAUUAUUCAAAAAGGCGAUCUCGGCAUUCAACUCAAUAAUAUGUCAAGACUAAGGAUCUUUCUAGUCCUAAGUGUUAUAAGGUUGAGAAGGACACUUAGGUUAGUAUAGGUUUUAUAGUUUUGUAGUGAUCGCACUAUUAAGAGGGGUUUAGGCUUAGUAACUUGAGCAUGGAUAUGGUCAUUUGAAAAUGGAUGCACACAAUGGUCACUCAAGUUUCUAGAAGCUCAAAUAAGUGGUUCUCAACUUAUAUCUCAAGAAAUAUUUGGAUUUCAUUCAAGACUCAAGUCAGAAAAGGCAAAAUCAGAAAAAUCCUAUUCACCGGUUUAACCGACGCUUCAACUCUUCUAUACGUCGGUUAAACAAGGUCAGCAGAGUUUGACAAGUCAAUUCACCGGUUCAACCGAUGAUAUUUGAAAAAGGUCGUCAGUGCAGUUGUCCAGAGACUUUGUUUUUUUUCAGUUGAUCAGCGGACAGCUACACUCACCGGUUAAACCGACGAUAUUUGAAAUUGGACGUCGGUACAGUUGUCCAGAGACUUGGUGUUUCAGUUGAUCAGUGGAUGGCUACACUCACCGGUUAAACCGAUGUCACGUCGGUUAAUCUUCCCAAACAGUAACGGCUAGUUUUCAGAAGGGGAGUUUACAUUCACCGGUUAAAACGACGAUGACUAUUGGAGGGACGUCGGAUUAACCGGCGCUACGCAGUUUUCUGGCAGCUUUUUCUCCAACGGCUCUAUUCGUGUGAGCUGCCCAUAUAUACCCCUCCAAUGGGUCAUUCUACUACUCUUGACACCAGGAAACACCCAAACACACAUAAUAUAGUCAAGAGCCACCUUGAGCUUCAACAUUUCAUACACUUGUUCAUUCAAUCAUUCAAGAUGCAAGAUUAAGGACUUGAGUAGAGAGAAGCUUGUGUGCAUCCAUUCUUGGUGAUUGGUUCUUGCUCAAGUGAAGGCCUUAGCUUGUUACUCUUGGUGAUUGGCAUCACCUAGGCGAUCUUGGUGAUCGAGGUGAUUCUCGCGGAGCUUGCCAAGGAUUGUGGAAGCCCGGAGAAGAGAUUUGUACGUGGCUUGAUCUCCACCACACCGGGAUGGUGAACGGAGACUCUUAGAGAGCGCCCUCGUCUUGGUGACUUGGGAGGUGACAAUACUCUUUGUGAGUGUCACAACGUGGAUUAGAGGUGUGUGCCAACACAUCGAUACCACGGGAAAAAAUCCGGUUGUCCCUUGUCCACUUUACUUAUUCAAGCAUUAUCUUUCAUGCAAUUCAUUCAUGUGCUUGAUUUAGGAAUCACUAGUUAGCUCUACCUUGCUAGGCUUUAUUCUUUUUUCCUUAUCUAGCUUGUGUAGGUCUUUUAGUUAUCCGGUUGGUGAAUUGGAGCCUUUCUAGUUUUGCAUAGGUUAAGGUUGCUUUAUCUUGUUUAGAAAUUUAAAAAGGCCCAAUUCACCCCCCCCCCUCUUGGUCCAUCGAUCCUUUCAUCCGUAUGUUCCCAAGUUGUUCAAUUUCAUAAAUGCUCCCAAACAGGUAAGAGUAAGUAGUCAUUGUUCUUCAUCGAGUACUUUUGAAUCAUUAAUAGUGACUUAUAUUAAUACUCAUGCUGAAUCGCUUGACUUGUAGGAUGAUAUCAACGUGUACAGGAGCAUGCCUCCCAUGCCGGAUAUUGAGCGUCCCUGCCGCAUGCUGGCGACGGCUCAUCGGAACAUCUCCUCCCAUCCUGACAUCAAUUCGGUGAUGGAGGAAGAAGAUAUUGAUUCUGAUGAUGGCCGCACCCUCUCUGACUUGAAGAGGAAAAGGGGGACAAUUACCUCCUAGGGGAAUACGACUUCUCCUGGUGGAGAGAUCUUUCCUGCCCCUCCCAAGAAGCCUAGGAUGGCGACACAGAAGCGCAGGGCUGGGGCCUCUACGAGUAAUGACAAUGAUAAGCAACCAAUGUAAGUAUCGAAUCCGGACUUUUACGAAUACUUCCCUUAGUUCGCCUUUUUCAUUGGGAUCUCCAGCUCUGACUGGGAGAGCCGCUGCGCGGCCACGAGUACUUCUGAUGAAGAAUCUGGCAUGCUCGUAGUCGAAGCAUACUCGAUGGCCUCCUGGUCGUAGUCGUACGACUUCUUCAAGUCGCCGCGGAAGGUGAGCACUUCACUCUUUCCUGGCAUCUUAAGAAGCAAGUAGACGAAAUGAGGCACGACCAUGAAUUUGGCCAAUGCGGGUCUUCCCAGGAUGUCGUGGUAUGAAGAUUCGAAGUCUCCCACCUCAAACUUGAUGUAGUCGGUCCUGUAGUUCUCCCUCGUGCCAAAGGUGAUGUCCCUAGUACGAUGUCGUAGAAGGGAGCCUUGAUUGGAGUGAGCAUAUCUGUGAUGUCCAAUCCCAUCUUCUUCAAAGUGUGCUUGGAGGUUAAACACCGACAAAGUGUGCCGGCUCCGUCGGCACUCUUCUCCAAGCUUGUACAUCGACAUAUGCCUUUCUAAUUAAAGUAAGUGUUUGUGAUUUCUCUAUGUGCUUUAAGUUUCUUAUUUAAUUAUGUUCUAUUCUUAGUUGCUUGCGGGAUCAUCAUUCAUGAGUUUGGUAGAUACUCUAGUACUAAGAUUCUGGAGAAAGAAGGAAGUUCUUGCGCGAGGCUAGAGUAGUAAUCGAUAGUGUAGGCAUGGUGUCUAGGCUAGAUGUUACCUUUGUUUGCCUUGUGCCCAUGGUUUGUAGAGUUAGGCGGUAGAUGCUUACAACCAUAUUCUUCCUUCGUAAUCCUCCACAUUCGGGUACAUCGUAGAGCCACAGGUCGGAGGAAUCUGGCAAUGUCCAGGGACAUGUCGGCGCCCAAAGUAAGCAAUUAGGAACAACUCUAUCUUAUCUUAAGACUGUUAGCCAUAGCAAAUCCUCUCUAUCCUGUCCUUUGAAAACUCUUGUUAUCCUUGGACGAACAUGACCUGUAGAUAGAACACUCACAUUCACUGUGGAUACGAUAUCCUGGAAUACACUUGGGUGAAAGGUACAACAGUAUUUGUACGCUUGCGGAUUUAUCUAUUAUCGUUGAAAAUACCAGCAUCUAGUUUCUUAGUUUGGGAUAUUUAUAACCCAUGAUCUUCUCCUUUGAAGGUGGUUGGUUGUUUCCUAUUCUUCAGCGUGCCAAAGCCUUUCCAACACUAGUAGAGUUCUUACCAACCUACCUUUUUGAGACUUGCUUUGUUUGGUUGAAAUAUUUGAGUUUGGUUAAGAGACUGGUUGUGUGUCAGCACUAGAGAGCUAUCCACAACUUGAGCAUUUAUGGUUGACGUCGAGGCAAUUUGUGUAUUCCUGGAGAUGAAGGCUCCUACAUGGCUAGGUCUUGUUGCGGUAAGUUUGUAAAGACUGCCUUCUUGCCUCUAUAAGGGAAAAUAUCAUCUAGUGGAAUCAAGAAAAGUUGUUGAAAGUAACCCGGCUCAAAGGAAAGAGUUGAAAAAAGACCCAUAUACCAAAGAGCUCCUCAAUGGAGACGUAGAAUCACAGGGGUGAAUCUAAACUUCAGGAAUCAAAUCUUCGUGUCUCCAAUUUUUAUUUGCCUCACUUGUCCAUUUCUAGCAUUUACUUCUGCUUCCACUUCGAUCUACUUGGGUGAGCUUAUUAUGUCUGCAGGGAUAUUUUGAAUCUAUAUGAAUUCAUCAACAGAAGCUACGCUCUAUGUUUGAUUUGUGCUAGAACGUGUAGAGGGGUUUAAACUUUCAACCGCCACCAUUCUUUUUGAGAUGUUUAUUGGUUCCCUCAAAUGAAUAUAGACCUUUAAUUCCUUUAUGAUCUAGAUUAGUUAAGAUUUCCUUCUACUAAAAUGCAGGAGUAGCAUCUAAAAUGUGGGAGUAGCAUUCUUAACGGGUAAUAUGGUAAUUUUCUACCAAAACUAGAAUAUGCAACUGAGUAAUUUCCACACUAGCCACUCCCUAAUUUUCGCAGGCAGUUUCUUAACCUGGUCCUACAAAUGGAAACCAGCAGAUUCUUAUAAACCAAUCUAACUAUGAUAUUAGGAAGCUUGGUGUAAAAUUUGUGCUCCAGAAGAUCCCUUUAUAGUUUACCCUUUUCCAAUAAUUAUUAGGUUGAACUAAUAAUCCAUCCCAAUUUACCCCAAAUUGUGGGGAAGUAAGAGCAUCUCUACCUCAAUUCACCCCUUCACUAUAAAAGCAACUACCCAAUGAUAAUGAAAGAGAUAUCAGAUUGGGACAUCCCCAUUAGUCGUGCGACAUGUCCUACUGCACUGCCACCGUCACUAGGAUCGAGCACCCAAAGGAGUCCUCCGGUCGUACGCUUGAAGUGAAGGGGACGAGCCUCCGCAGCCCCAUCGCGGAGUUGGGCAUCAGGUUGCGGCCUCCACCGCUGCCCUCUUCAAUUUUGUGGCUGGGGGAGUUGGCGCGACGGCGCUACACUAGAGAGCAGUGGCGACAAAUAAGGUUUUAUCAAAUAGGAGUGGUGGAGUCGAGUAACUAGGUUGUCACUCCGCUCGUGGGCUAUCGUGAGCCGAUGGCCCAUUGUGUUUGCUCAUUUCGUUUAGCUCUCGAGCUGCUCUAGCCAGCUCGUUAUAAUUUCCGAGCUUAAAAUCCACGCUUGGUUCUUUAAGAAAUUGCAACGAGCCGAGCCAAGCGAGCUAAUGAGCCAUAAACUUUUGCUCCAGUGCCCUAGUUAUUAGGGAACUGUUGGAAAUGCUUAGCUAGGUAAUAAUUAAGGAACCACAACUACAACCAUGGUAACCUAUCUUAUUGACAAUCAUCCACGUCUAAAUCCCAUGUGAGACCGUACAUAUUGGCCGUAGGGAGAAAAUCUUGUACCACCAUAAAUCAUGGACCGACAAGAUUUGCAGUAACCAGCAUGAACUUGAACAUAAUCAUAGUACAACUAGAGCCAACGCCAUUACGAAGCAUCACUACUGCACAUAGGGCUAUCACCGCCGGGUUAAAAAUGCCAUCAUCGCCGAUUCCGGGAUCUAUUAAAUCAUGGUCGGCACCGGGUCUAGAACCGGCGGUGAUGCCAUUUUUAGAAAAUAAAAAUGCUCCGCGCUGCGCGCUCGCCCGCGCUCCACGCCACCGCAGAGAGGAGGGGAGGCGGCAGCGGCGGGGGAGAGGAGGGGAGGAGGAGACGACGAGGGGGGGAGGAGGGGAGGCUGGGGAGAGAAUAAUGAGAGAGAGGGGGAGAGAGAGACGGGGGGGGGGGGGGGUAGCUAUGGUGGUGAUUGCAUCACCAUCGGUUCGUAAUAUGACCCGGCAGUAAUGUUCACUCUCACUGCCUGACUAUCUUUGCAAUGACAUGGUCUGUAGUAGUGCAUAUUGCUAUAAUGCCGGUCAAUAUGGUCUGCAUACAGAUCCGGCGAGGUAGCAGCGUUGGCUAAUGUGCAAAGGCACCACAUCCGUGUGGUGUACAAUCUCUACUGCGACUCUUUUCAUGUCAGAUAAAAAAGAAGUCUAAAAUGCCCAUAACAUAUCAACAGUUAGAUUCAUUUUCUACUCCUGGCCCCCACAAGAGGAAAUGCCAUACAAUCUCUCUUUUCUACUGUUAUUUAGAACAUCAAUAUAAAGAUGUUCAACUUCAACAUUAUUCUUUACAAUUAUUGAAUAGUAAAAGUGCUAAGGAUAGAAUCAUAUAAUAGUUUUCUACAUUACUAAUUCACUUAUUCCAUUAUCCUGUGUCAAAAAUGCUAACGGUUUUGUUUUGAAAUUUGACUGCAUGCAUUCUCAAAGGAGAUGCAUUUUAGAACGGAGAAAGCAUAAAACUAAAACGACCAAAAAGAAUAGUGUUGCGUUCAAGUCAGCUAAUUGUAUUCAAUAAUUUUUCAUGGUCUACUUCUAAAACUGGGCAAAUGAACAAUGAAUUUCUUUUAUUAUAAUCCCAUUUUUGUAUAGAAUAGGUAAGAGACAUGCUAAUCCAAAUUUUACCCAUUUAUUGAGUUCAUAAUAAUGACCCUUAAAAUUGUCCUUACACAAAUUAUUAGGUUGUCUGCACAAUAGAGACUCUAUGCAUGUCGUUUCUAAGUUCGUAGGGAAUAAUAAACUGUUUCUAUUGUGGUUAUUAGCCAAAUACAACAAAACAAUAUUUACGGCAAACUGCAACCAUAGCCAAACAGAGAGUAUGUAAGCUCUGCAUCUCUAUAUAACUAUCUGAUGGGCUCAAGAUUAUUGGUUCGACAGUCUGGUGUGGUCCCAAGAUUAUCGGUUCAUUCAGAUUUAAAAAAUAAACCAUUUCAUUAUUCCAUUUUGUAUAGCCUUCAAAUAUUUAAAAUGUGGAAAUUCGUAUACCUCACUUCUAAAUGCUUCGAAAGCAUCACUUGAAAUAUCUUGUUGCAAGAAUCUCUUGAUUGUGACUUCCUGCACAGAGGAGCAAAUUGCUAUGAUGCAACAAAAGCAGUACAAAGAUGCCCCCAGUAGGAGGGUCCAACCACUGGUGUGGCACCCUCCCUCUAUUUUUAGGGUUGCGACAAGGAGAAUUUUCUAUUUUGCUGCCACCAGGAUUUGAACCAUGGCUGGUGUAUCUCUUAAUUGGAGAGCUUACGGUUACACUACAAGAGUGUUGGUAGAGGGUGCUAGACAAGCACUAGGUUGUCACAUGAAAUUAAUGUUCCUUUCCAGCUAACUGUAAUUUAAUUUCUUAUAUAUUUUUAUGGUCUAUACAUAAAACAUGGGCCAUGUCAAUAGUUCAAAUCGUACUGAGAGUUAAAGCAUCCCAAGGAUCAGGCCAUUCUUAGUGGGGGUUUAUAAAUUCAAUCUCAUUAAAUGAUAUCCCACAUUAGUAAAUAUGAUGACAUGACAGAGUAUUUAAGAAGGAGAAGAGAUGAGUUUCAUCAAAAUAAAAUUGGUUGUACAUUGCUUUGAGACUAUGAAAUGUAUUGAAACUGCCAUUGAGGGGUAUAGAGCUCAUUUCAUCUGGUUUAGUCCAAUCCGGUGCAUCACAUUUAAUUAAAAUAUAUGGCUUGCCUAUAAAACCGUGACAUGAAACUGUGCAUUGGAGAUAUGGUUUCAUUCAUCAACAAACAUUAGUUUACAUAAUGUGGCCUAAUUGUUACUUUGCCUCUCAUAAACCAUACAAAUCAUGUUCCAUUUACAGUUUGUAAAUCCUUUUUAAAUGAUCCGCACUAAUGUGAACCUGAUCCGUUAACAGAAACAACAUUCACUACCACCUCCUUAAUAGAAUAAACAAAAACUGAUAACUGACAAAUAACAAGAAAUAGAGGAUAAUUUAGAAAUUAACAAAUAUUACAAGAUAAUAUAGAUGAAGAACUUACUAGUCCAUGCCAUUCCCCUCUGAACACUUCUCCAAAAGAAUCUAGAGACAGAAGAAGAAAAAAUUUGGACAACAUUGAAAUCAAGGUAUGUUAUGUGUUAUUUCAAGUCAAUGAAAACCAUAUCUUGGGAAUGCUUAACUCAAUUAUACUGCAAACAAAUUAUUGAUACUAGUUGAAAUACAUAUUCUUCCUUUGUUUGACCAAGGAUAUUUCGCUUCGUUAAGACAAGCAUUUCAACAAUAAUUGCUUUAUUAAUACAUGAUUUUUUUGAACAAAAUAUUGUUAUUAGAUACAUAGUAUUUGAAAUGCUUACUUAUAAGUAUGGUUUUGGAUCACAUAAAUGGAAUAUCAAUUGAGUAAUUUUUUUUGUCGAGCCUUAUUCUAGCAAAACAAAAUACACCCAUUAAAAAAAUGGAGAGAGUACUAUCAAUGAUGAUAAUGAAGAAACUGAGAGGGUGUUUAGUUACCCGGGGCUUAUUUUAAGCCAUGUCAUAUCGAAUGUUUCAAUACCAAUUAGAAAGGUUAAAUAUAAGCUAAUUAUAAAACUAACUGCAUAAGCCUAGGGCUUAUUCACGAGAUGAAUCUAUUAAGCCUAACUAAUCCAUAAUUAGCAUAUAUUUAUUGUAGCAUUACAUGGGCUAAUCAUGGACUAAUUAGGUUUAAUAGAUUCAUCUCACGAAUAAACUAGAUGUUAUGGAAUUUGUUUUAUCAUUAGUUUAUAUUUAAUAUUCUUAAUUAGCAAUCCGAUAUGACGGGGCUUAAAAUAAACCCUCGGGAACCAAACACCCCCUGAAUUCAUGAGAUUCAAUAGAAGUGUACCCAGCCCAAGUCUUUCUCCAAUGGCAACUUCUUCCCAGAUGAUUUCAGACUCUGCCAUAUCAUCUAGACAAAUUCCAAAUCUUGCACUCUCUGUCCCAGUCAGCGUUUGAGAGAUCCCUUCAGCUCCCUGAGGCGCUUCAAUAUAAUCCAUUUCUUGGUCCUGGGAAUUACCCUGUCAAUGAUUUGUCUCCAGCUGAUUAUUAUUCCAUAAUUCAUGUUUUCUCUAGAUUAAUUUCGGAGAAUUUAGCAAGCUAAACAAUUGACUGGAACCUAUUCAUAGACUAGCUAUUAUUGGUCAAAGCAGGAAGUUGGACACAGUCAAAAUAUGCCUUAGGAAAGGUGUAUGAUUCUACCCCUAUUUUUUUCUCUAAUCAUUAGAGGGAAUGUCAGAUUUAACCAGCUUUCUAAUGAGUUAUGGCCAAAUUACUAAUCAGUUUUACACUUCACAGUGGUUAGAUAUUGAAAAUAAGAGUAUCUUGAAGAGACUCUUUAGAGAUUUUGGUUAAAAAUUACUUUCCAACGGUCUCUUCAAUUGGAUAUCUAAAUAUAGACCUCCUCUAUUCCGAAUUUCUCGCUAGCUAAAGAUGGAGGGCAAGAAUUGAUCUCUAGACUAAGCACCAGAUAUAGAAAAGCUGUUGGAAAGUACAAAGAUAUAUAAAAUUAUUUUUACUUAAAUAACUCUCUAAAUGAUGAUUUAGAGAGUAGAUUUUAGAAAAACUUUUAGAGAUGCUCUAAUAGACCAGGAAGCUUGCUCGAAAGACUAUAGCUGGUGGUGAUGGCAAACACACACUGGAACUCACCUCAGAUGGGGCACCGGAACUCGGGUAGUCGGACAGAAGGCUUCUGGACGGUGUUUGUAUUGGCGUGUAACCAACCGUCAGCCUUACCUUUUGCACCAUGUCGAUCCGCAUACCGUCAAACAUAUCUGCAGUGAUGGGCUUGGGUAUGGCGGUAUACCCCCACACUGCGAUGCUCUGCACAAGGAAUUCAUCGCCGCACAGCAAGUCCCAUGAUGCCGCCUCAUGAUCUUCUUCCAUUGUUACACGUACAAAAGAAGUGGACAGUGGCAGCAGAAGGCCACUGGUCGGUUCAAUAAGGUAGUUGUUUUUGGCCUUGGUAACCCCAAAAUAAAAUGCAGCAUAGUUGUCAGUCUUGUUGGUUAGCUUUACGAUGCAGGGCACCCGCUUGUUCCGCUCCAAGGAAAAGUAGAGCUCAAGAGGGGUGAUCUCAAGCAACUCCUUUGGCUUGUGUGCUACCUGCAGCGAAGAAAUGUUAUCCAAACAUUAUAAUUCUGACUGACGCAACAAGCUAUCCCUCCAAAACCACUGCUUGAGGAACCCCCGUUUGCUUUUGAUAAAAAAGAAAACAGAUGAAAUUUAGGAACCUGCUUGCAUGGUAGAAAACAACUAUUUGGUUUUUGGCGGUUUGGAAAUAUAUAUACAUGUAUUCUACGAUUGUCAUUCAUGCUUAGGGGUGGUAACAGAUCAUGGCCAUAAUACUCUCUUCACAAUCCAACAUAGCCCUUAUGUAUAUUUAGCUCAAAAUUGAAAAAUUCCGUUUGCUUUUGAUAAAAAAGGAAACAGAUGAAAUUUAGGAAACUGCUGGCAUGAUAGAAAUCGACUAUUUUAGGUUUUGGCGGGUGGGAAAUAUAUGUACAUGUAUUCUACGGUUGUCAUUCGUGAUAUCUCUUAUUUUGAAAGCUCUUGCGCUUAUCUCACUCCUAUCCAGUUUUCAGUCUCUUCCGAUUCUAGAGAGCCCAUUUUCUCACCAACCCUUUGAAGAGGGGCAAAGGUUGACUUCUUUACCUGUUGCUCUUAUGGAUGAUCAGAGACUGUGGAUGCGUAGAUCUCGAUCGAAUGCAUUCAUUUGACUACACAUAUGUAUUGUUUGGAGUUCAGAUCAUGGAGUUACAUUUUUCCAAAAAAAAAAAGGGAGGGGGGGGGGUACAUAACUGUGGUGGCCCAGGUAAUUGACAGCAAAAAACGCAUUUAUAGGUGCUUGUUACAUAGCAACAUGCUUUAUUUGUUCUUGUAUACUAUAAUGGUGCAUUUUAUUAGAGGUUUUGGUAUUACCAUAUUAGAAAAUAAUAAAAAAUUCCUAAUCGUGAAACAAAUUCCUAAGCAAAUUGAUGGUAUCUCUUCCAAAAGUGAUAUAGGUACCUGGCUUGCAUGUGGCCUGCUCUCCUCGCCAACAUAGCAAUGUGUGCUUUCCCACGUAUUAAGAAUCUCGAUAAUUUUAUUUAUUGUCAGCCUUUUCCUUCGGUCAAAAUCAGUGCAAGUUAUGCCUAUUUCAAGGCAAAUCUCUAUCUGUUGGUAAUCUGUUUCUAGUGAUGCAUACUUGGGUGCUGCUUCCCUCUUUUUCCAAUUUUGAAGUACCUGUGAAAUCUGGAUCAGAGAACAUAAUACUGUGCAAUGAUAAAAUCUGGAUCAAAAAUUAAAGAACCUCAAUCUUGAAUGUUGGCACACUAUUUCUUACAGGUUCAACAAAGUCCCUGCAGAAUGUUUCAGUACCAGAAGGCCCAUAUUUGUGCCCUGUUAUUAUCUCUAUAAUUAUUACUCCCAAACUGUAUAUGUCUGCCAUAGGCGAGAUUAUACUUUCCCAUAUGUAUUCCGGUGCCAUGUAACCCCUGCACCACAACAUAUGCAUUGGAACUCUAGGGAAACUUCAAAGAAGACACAUUUUUGCUGAUCAUAAAAGCCAAUGGAUAACGUGGAACUUACUUCGAUCCAACAAGAGAUGUGGCACAGGUUUGAGUUUUUUUGUCGCUAAAGUGUCUUGCUAAACCAAAAUCAGCAAUUUUUGGCAUCAUAUUGUCAUCAAGCAAUAUGUUCUCAGGUUUUAGGUCCAAGUGAAUAACAGAGCCAUUUAUUUCACAUUCAUUGUGAAGGUAAUGUAAACCACAACAAAUCCCCUUAAUUACUUUGUAGCGUUCAUUCCAAUCAAGUCCGCAAGAUUCCUCUGGAUAUGUAACCAAGAAGGUAUCAGCCAACAAAUGAAUCCAUUACUGUGGUGAGCAAGUAAAAGAAUGUGAAAGAACUACAACAGUAUGUCUGUUUGCUUUUCAUUCAUCAACCAAGAUCGGCAUCAUAUAUUAUAUUGUUCUGCGUAGCAUUUCAUAGAAUGUAUUAUCAAGUUAGAUUAGUACAUCAGAGCUAAUAUUAUCUGCAUUGGCUUCUCAAAAGAAAAUUGAAAAAUCAAGAAGGACAGAUGCCUUAUUAAUUUGUAUGAGGUACAUAGUCUUCAGAGUUAACAAUUGAACAUUUACUUCUGAUAGAUAUCAAUUCAGUACAAGCAGAUAAUCAAAAUCACAUAAAGAACUUUGAUACUGAUUUAUUGAUGUUUAUUUGCAUCACAAUACACAACAGUUGUAAUGUUUGCACCAGGUUUAACUUGAAAUGUGUGUGCCCUAAUAAAUAUCAGUGAUGGAGCAAGUCUCAUUUUGAGUAGUCAUACCUGAAAUAUACUUAUCAAGACUUCCAUUGGUCAUGUAUUCAAAGCAAAGCAACCUUUUAGGCAUAUCCACAAAAACAUUUAUUCCAUUAUAUGUUGUGUAUUUGUGCUGUGUUUCGCAACAAUAUCCCACAAACCUUACUAUAUUUUUAUGUCUAACUUUCAUUAAAUUGUCAACCUCAUUUUUAAAUUCUCUUUCGUGGCACAACGAUAUUGACAGAAGAUUCUUCACAGCAACCAUUUUUCCAUUUGGUAACACUCCCUGUUUUAAAAGCUCUUAUUAAAAUGGACACAGGUAUUCCGGUAAACUUCUAUUAAACAUGUUUGAAAUGACAUAAAGGGAAUUAUUUAGUUUUACCUUAUAUACCACACCGAAACCGCCUCUACCAAGUUCUUGAUCACCAGAAAAAUUAUUUGUGAUAUCUCUCAAAUAUUGUAAUGGUAUGAUACAUGGUUCUUCAUUUGGAUCUUGCAAUACAGUCUCCAAGUUAACAUGUACACUAAAUACAUCAUCCAUCUUGGCGCUUACUUAUGAUGGCACCAAUGCUAGUACAACGUCCUUUUACAAGGGAAAAAUAAAGGAAAUUACAAAAGUUCUGAAUACAGGAUUCCUGUAAGACACAAUAUUUGAUAUGGCAUUUUUGGAAAGGUACUCCCUAAGCUCACACCUGAUGUUCUGGAAUCAUGAAAAUUCUCAAUCUUCAAGAGUCUGACCAUGAAUAAGUUUGACCAUGAAUAUGUUUAAGACUCCCUAUGAAGAGCUACAUGGAAGCUAUAUUAAAAAUUUGGUUGUGCUUUCAUAACAUGACAUUUUGUUGCUAUGCAUUGACAAUAAAGUUAUAAGAGCAUAUCCAACAAUAGAGUCAGCUACUAGCUAUAUAUUAUAUUAUAUUAUAUAUACAUAUAUACGGUAAUACUAUUCUACACCUUAGGUGUAGCAUGUAUUCUAUACCUAGCAGUCAAAUUAGUGACCGAACUGAUCAAAAAUUACUGAACCAAGUUGCCGAAUUACUAAAUCAUGUUCAAUGUUCAGUUUUAGUAAUCGCGCGCAGUAGUUAUUACUGAAAAUUUGUUCAGUAAUUAGUUGGGUGUAGCUACAACUAAGAUGUAGAAUAGCAUGUGUGUGUGUGUAAAAGAUUUGUCCAAAUAUAAUAUAUAGAUAGCAUAAUACGCAGAUAAUCCUCCAAUGGAUUCAACGAGGAUCCACAUAUAAUAGGGUGAAUAGAAGCAUGCAUGCAUCUUGAAAAGCGCUAUAGACAUUCUUUCUACUAUUCAUUAACUUUAGAAUCCAUAUGGCCCUAAAUCUUAUGUGGGUUUCCUUAAAGCUAGCUGGCAUGGAUUGUUGGAGACACCCUAACAAUAGUGGCCUAAGUUACCUUUUGGAUCUUUUAAAGAAAAAAAUUACCUUUUGAAUAUCACAAAUAGUCAAUACAGUCAUAGAAAAAGCAAGCUACUUCCUCCGAUCAGAAUAUAAGUCAUCUAAGUUUGUACUAAGUCAAAUUUUUUUAAUUCUUAUUAGCAAUAUCUAAAAUUUUAUAUAGAUUGACAAUACAGGAAUGGUAUACUAUAUUCAUUAUGGAAAACACUUUCAUCAGGCACUGAACGCUUCCUAGGCUGCGACCAGAAUUGUCCAAAAUUAAAACCUUGAUAUCCCUAUUCAAACUUAGCACGCAUGGAUCUGAAAUAUAAGUUUGUAUGGAUUAAUUUGGUGCUCCAAUCAGAAAGCUUUGAAAGGUGGGGAAGAAACGAACAAGUUAAUUUUGGACCUUGCAGAGUAGUAAACUUACAGAUCAGUGCAUGAGAACACGAACCGCUGCUGCAAUCUCCAAAACUUCUACACGAGAAGAACCCGGAGGAAAAGAUUAUAACUAACCUGGAGAAGAAUUAGGUCCUCAUUCAGAGUUAGCUUAGAGAGAUGCUUCACCUGGAAAGCAAGGGUUGGCUAGCCUGCAUCAAAACCAUCAAGGUGACCCUGCGUUGAGGGCUUGAAGUAAGCAAGGGUUGGUGAAGCAAGGCUUGGCAGCCAAGCAGAGAGGAGCAGGUUAGGUAGCAGACCUGAGAUGACAUUUUAUUCUCAAUACACCAGCAAAAAAAAGCAUGAGAUGGCGUUGAUUCCUGGAAAUGACGCUCGCGCGUUUUGCACAUUCGUGAACCUUUACUGGUACCUUUCCUUUUUUUAUUUCCACUUGCCAAGCUUUUCCUUUAUUUAAACAUUCCGCGUGCUAAGCUGUUCCCCACUAUCCUUAUCCAUUCCUCUCGAAUUUUUUUUUCAAAAUAAUAUUAUUUUUAUAUAAAAUCAUAAAAGUUGCAAUUCCAGUAGUCUGUUGGUUAAUGUUCAGCCGAUAUCCGAGCUAUCAAUUUUGGGCCAGCUGAUAGGUCUAUGCACGGCCCAAAAUUUCCUUAGUUUUUAGUUACGUUUCUAUUUUCCAGCACUAUGCAUGUAGAGAAAACAUUUAACCAUUUUUGAAAUUGAAUUAAACCAGUUAUACAGAACUAACUGAUGACCGUAUAUGCAAAAUGGAACAUAAACAUGUUAAAUAGUAUGUUUGUAAAGUUUGACAAAUUUAGAAAUACAUUUGCUAUUUCUUUUAGAAUAUUGAAUGAGGGUAAACAAUCUAUUUGUAGAUGUUAAUUCUGCGGGUGACCGGAGGUUCGGAGACGCAGAGGUGUUGAGCUGAUUCACGUUGUAGGUUUCACGCCCGCGUCAUUCUCUCCUCCCCUCCUCAUCCAACAGCCAGCCUUUUCCUUUCCUUUUCUCCGUUCCCUUUCCUCUUCUGCAAGAGGAGGCGCGCGGGGGGAGCGGUGGGGUUGCGUAUGGCCCCCGACGAGACCGGCGCCGUGACAAUGGAACGCGGCCGCUACCUCAAUUUUUUUCUCCUUUUCUUUUAUUUUAUAUUUUUUUCUAAAAGUUGUUCAUAAAACUUAUGCUGUUUCAUGAAAUUGUUGUUCAGAUUUUUUUUGUUUGAUAUUUUUUUAUUGUGAUUUUUUGUUUCAACCUCUUCAAAAGUUUUUCUCUGAAAUUUGUUUCCCAAAUUUCUCAAUAAAAGUUACAUUUUCUUUAAAUUGAAUGCUCGGUGCUUUUCCUUUUGUCUUUAUCAAUCUUUUAUGCACCCUACUUAGUUUCUCAAUUCUGUUUUGCCUACUGUUUCAUGCAGGGAUCCAAGGUUGCGGCCAUCAUUUUCAGAGAUCAUGGCUGCUUUGAGACCAUUAUUGAAAAACAUGCCUGCUAACCAACCUACCAGAAAGCGGACACAGCAAACAGAUGAUUAAGAAUAUGGUGGUUAGUAUCAGCUGACGACACAAACCGAAAAGAGAGGGCAUUGGUCUGUCUUGCCUUCCCGGCUUCAAGCAACUGACCACCUGUAACUAUUACCAUUUUUUUUGUACAGUACGCCAGAUGAAUAUCUGAUGAAAAAUAGGCGAAUUUUUUUUGCCCCUUUGCCCUCAAAAUACAGCAUUAGGUUCUCCAUUGAAGCCAGCAGAGUCUGUCCAUCUGCUGAAACCUGACCCAAAUAACACAGUUCAAUCAAACAAAAAGAAAAGAAAGGGGAAACGGAGUUGGUGAAGGUUGCUGCAUAAUAUUGUCGCAGGCACAAUGGUGUACUGGAGCCAGAAGUUGACAUGCCAGGUAAACCAGGUCCAUCGUCUUCUGUUCAGCCGGGCAUUACUUUUGUUGGCUAGCUACUGACGGCCUGGCCACCUUGCCAUCUUAUCAGUUCGUAGGCAGUUCUCUAUUGGUCGAUACCAACAUGUCAGUCCUAGCAAGAGCGAUAGCGUUGUCGCGUGACAGACUACUACAAUUCCAAAAUUUAUAAAACACCAUAUUUUUUAUAAAAAAAAUUCAAAGUAAUAUUAUUUUAGAAAAAAAUUUCAUUCCUCUCACCUCUCGGUCCCUCCCCUCAUCAUCUCAUGGAGCGGCCAAACGCAGCUCCUCUAUUUUAGGACCUCCAUUUCAAAUUAUAGGUUAAUUUCUAUUUUUUUAAUGUAUAAUUUUUAUUAUUCGUUACACAUAGCAUACGUUUAGACCCAUAAUCAAUAUGCGUAUCUAAAAAUUAAAUUAAAACGAUCAAUAAUUUAGAAAUGAGGGAGCAGAACGUUGCCACAAUUUAUCGAGCAGCAUCGGCAUGCGAACGCUACAGCUCAACAUUGGAUGUAAAUUUUAGAAACUAUUUGCGCGCGUCACCGCAGUGGUGCAUGCUGUUAAUAUUCAGCACACAUCUCAUGUACAGUAGAAGCGUGCGGUUUCACCUAUUGGUCUACCCUCAAUAGGGCGCAAAGAAUGAUGACUUCACGUAAAAUAACAGCGAAUAAAAGAGGCAAGAAGAGAGGCUCGACAUUUUCCCCCGGUAAAGAAUGAUGGUUUUAAUUACAAACAACAGAUUUUCUUUGGUAAUCUAAUUGUCAAUUACAUCAAAUUUGCUGGGACGUGAUAUACACAUGGGCGAUGGGCCUGGAAGCGAGAUUCUUCAAUGUUGAAGCUAAGGGCGAAAUGACCUUUCGGUCGAAGAACAUUACAAAUUGAUGGAUGGGGCCUUAAAGAUGAAUACUCCAUUAGGUCGAGGACUAACAAAAGUAAUGCCCGGCUGAACAGAAGACGAUGGACCUGGUUUACCUGGCAUGUCAACUUCUGGCUCCAGUACACCAUUGUGCCUGCGACAAUAUUAUGCAGCAACCUUCACCAACUCCGUUUCCCCUUUCUUUUCUUUUUGUUUGAUUGAACUGUGUUAUUUGGGUCAGGUUUCAGCAGAUGGACAGACUCUGCUGGCUUCAAUGGAGAACCUAAUGCUGUAUUUUGAGGGCAAAGGGGCAAAAAAUUCGCCUAUUUUUCAUCAGAUAUGCAUUUGGCGUACUGUACAAAAAAAUGGUAAUAGUUACAGGUGGUCAGUUGCUUGAAGCCGGGAAGGCAAGACAGACCAAUGCCCUCUCUUUUUGGUUUGUGUCGUCAGCUGAUACUAACCACCAUAUUCUUAAUCAUCUGUUUGCUGUGUCCGCUUUCUGGUAGGUUGGUUAGCAGGCGUGUUUUUCAAUAAUGGUCUCAAAGCAGCCAUGAUCUCUGAAAAUGAUGGCCGCAACCUUGGAUCCCUGCAUGAAACAGUACACAAAACAGAAUUGAGAAACUAAGUAGGGUGCAUAAAAGAUUGAUAAAGACAAAAGGAAAAGCACCGAGCAUUCAAUUUAAAGAAAAUGUAACUGAGUGUUCAGAAUACUUGCUUUUUCAGUAUAUCCAAAAUAUUAUGUUUUAUCUCUCUUCACACAGUUAAUUUUUUUCAAAGGAUAUACUCCAACGAUGCAUAAAUUGAAUGUCUGCUUUUACUUUCACAAUUUCAUGAUAGUAUUUAUGUGACAGAAAAAUUAUCAAUUUACAUUGCAACUGUUUAAGUAAAUAACAACACAUCUAAGGCCUCAACAAAUUUUGUAACACUUUAUAAAUAUUAAAGUUCCAUUGCAGCCCAGGAGUUAAAGCAUACUAACGUCUGCCAGCAUCUCUUGAUUAUCUCUGCUACAGCAGGAUCCACACUGCCUGGAAUAUCAAGUCGUCGGUGCUGAAAACCAACAGCUCCAACAACCUGCAUGGGAUUCAUACCUUCCCAUGGCUGUAGUAAUGUACAAAGUUCCCAUAAUAUGACCCCAUAGCUGAAAACGUCACACCUGAAAACAAAUGCACAAUGCAUUCAUCAAUCACAAAACCAUUUCGAAUCAAAGAGAGGGACAUGUAAAACCUACUUCUCAUCUGAUGGUUCAUUUCGAAGUACUUCUGGUGCCAUCCACUCCGCCUGCAUUUGAUAUAGCGCAGACAGUUAGCAGCUUCAGUAUUUAGCCUAAAGCAGCUUGCGAGUUUUUGAUUAAGAAAAUCUAUUCAAAGUGCAAAAGCUUAUAAAAGACUGCUGAUAUGACAUCAUCAAAGUACCAAAUUCUAACACAGAUACAAGGAGAAAAAUCAGGAAGCUUAGAAAAGACUGCUAAUUUGACAUCACCAAAGUUCCAAAUUCUAACAGAUACAAGGGAAAAAGAAAACAGAACUGGCUAAAUACUGUAAAUGAUUCAGAAUCUAAUGAUCCUCUCCAAUCCAUCUCAUCCUCACGCACACGCAUGACAUGAAAGAAAUUAUAGUUUGCAAACAACAGCAAUCAAAAUACAAAUCACAUGUUCAAGUUUACGUUGAUAUCAAGAUAAAGUGAAUUAUGAGUUUUAAACAAGCUCCUGGAGCUGGCCUGCACGAUUACAGACCCCACUAGCUACACAACUUAAUAUUUCAGCAAAAAUUUUCAGAACCUAACAAUCCUCUCCAAUCCAUCAAACCAUCAGAGAGUAAAUUUUAGCAUAAUCAAUAGCCAGACCAGACAUGCAAGUUUAUACUCAUCUCAACAUAAAAUGAAUUAUGAGUUUCAAAUAGUAGGCAUCUAGCUCUGACAAACAUAUCAAUCCUAAUGCUAAAAAUAAAAGUCAAUAGCGAGCAUUUCAAUCAUUUUCCUACUAUUGGGAGGUAUCCUAUAUAGAUUCACACAGCAUGCAACAGAAAUGAGUUUUACAAAUGAGCAGAACUAAAAGGCAAGCCAAAUAUAAACUUGGUGUUUUCAAGAACAAGUUUCUUAUUAUAAGAAAUGGAAAAUGUUUGAUUUAAUAUAAUUAAGCAAGCUUACUGUUCCGGCUGUGGAUCUUGAGGAGAGGAAGGUAUUAUGCUUUAUACGUGAUAAACCAAAAUCACAAACCUAAACACAAGACAAGUAAUAAUUGUUAUAUAUCUAGAAAUGUCCAAGACCCAAAGUGUACCACUGUUAAAGGACCUGUUUAUUACCUUCACAACCCAAUUUUUGUCAACAAGUAGAUUUGGAGACUUCAAAUCUCGGUGAACUAUGACAGGGGUGCAAUUGUGUAAAUAAUUCAUGCCACGGGCCUGUGGCAGACAACAACCAAGUAUUAGAAAAGACAGAGCGAAGUUCUCAAUAUGAAUGAGACAAAAACAAAAGGUAACUUCGGCAUACCACAUCAAGUGCCAUCCUUAGACGCCUUCUUUCAUCCAACUGGUUAUUGGGCCGAUGGAUCAACCGAAAUAAGCUACCUCUGCAUUGUCAGGACUACAGUUAGCAAUUGUAUAUUUAUGCAAGUCAACUUGUACAGAAACCACAAAGAUAAUACAUAAUAACUGACCGCCCUGAUAGCCUAUACCUGAAUAAUGCUUUAAAUACUAUGCAUAUGCAGCUACAAACGACAAGAUCUUGUACUCUCAUUAAGGUCCUGCAAUGUGUUUAUAUUGUAAACUAUUCUUAUACAUCUGGGGGGAGGGGGGAGGCUUUAUAUAUAUGGUCAUGUAUGAUUUGUACAAGAGUACAAAUACAAUUCUACACAUAUCUCUAGUACUAUGCGCAUAACCUCCCAUUUUCUUAGAAGCAUUUUAGUGCACUAUUCCAAAACUCUACAAUAAUCAGUGCUUUUGUAUAAAUAUGCAGAGAAAAUUCAAGGCAAGCGAGAGGCUGAGAUUAAAUGAUACUUUCCCCACUAAUACUUUCUAGGAAGAGUACUUUGGCCAUUUCAAAAAGACUGUCAUUUGACAAAGCUGGACCAGCAGGAAUACAAAAGGCAAUCCAUCAACAGUUCCAUAUUUUAUACGAGAGGGAUUAGCUUUGUCAAGGGGAAAAAAAAUCAAUGGUGAUGAAUCAAUAAACUACCAAGUAAAGGUAACAAAGAACCAGAACGGGAGAAAGAGGAGGACUGGAUAGAGGAGCAGAAGGAUGGCGGAAGCAAAGGGUGUAGAUUUUUGCCUGAGUAUUGUAGAUUGAGUACUCCAGUUCGAGGAUUUGAUCAUUUUACAAUCCACCCCCCCGCCCCCAACACACACACACACAAGUAAUAACAGGGUAACUUUGCGAUUUGUGAAAUCUUAUCACAUUUUUUGCUCUGACAAUUUCAAUAAUUUAACCACAAAAUUUUUAGAUUCUUUUAGAGGACUUGAUGAUUUCACACACACCCCACAAGUAAUAACAGAGUAACUUUAAGAUUUGUGACAUUACAUUUUUUUUACUCUGGAAUAUUCAUUAGUUUAACCACAAAAGUAUCUGUACAAGACACUAUACAUGUUACAUCCAUUAAGUUCCUUUAUUUAUAGAACACAUUCUUCAAAAAAGGGGGAUCAAACAUUAUUUAACAAAGAUUGGCACUGUCAUUAUAAUCCACGAAGUAGUUGAAGAUUCAAAAACUAAAAUAAAAUAUCAACAAGGAAGAAAAGGUACCUUGGAAGAAAUUCAGUCACGAUGGAUAGAUGAGGUACACGAGUGACAGCCCCCAUGAAAAGAACAACAUUAGGAUGACGCAAUCUUCUCAUUAUUCCCACCUAAACAGAAACAAAUAGUGUACUAAAUAACAUGAGAAAUUUUGGCGGUUGAAAAUUAUCAUUAUAAUGUAGACGUGCCGACAGAUAAUUCGAUGCCAUACCAUGCAGUUGGUGUAGGACGAACCAACACUAACUUCUUUUGUGAGGAAAAUACUUUUGAACUUUAAUGUAUUACCAAAAUCAUUAAAAAAGAUUGUGUUCAAGCCAGCUAACUGUAAUUUGUUGGAUUUUGUUAGUCUCCAUGGUCUACUUCGGAACUGUGCAGAUCAACAGUGCUUGGUUUAUUAUCAUGCUUGUCACUUUCAUGUCAUACUCAUACCAUGCCGAGUGCCAAACAAGCACUAACUUAUACUGUGACCUAGAUGUGUUUGAAGUACCACUACUGUUCUUUUUUGAGCUGUUUUACAGUUACCUCAAAUGAACACAACCUUCAUUCCUUUUCAUGAAAUGGUCUAGAUUAAUUAAGAUUUGCAUCUACUUCACCUGCUAAAAUGCAGGAGUAGCAUCUGUUAAGGGCUUAUGUGGUACGUUGGUGUAAGUACUAGGAUAUGCAGCUGAGUAAUUUUUCAAUGCUGGCCCUUCCCUAAUUUCCGCUGGCAAUUCCUUAAUAUUCUCCUGGUCCUAACAAUAGAAAGCUUAGCCAGGUAACAAUUAUGGAACACCAUUCACUAGUCAAGGUAACCGACCAUCGUCCACAUCGAUCCCAUUCCCGUGUCAGACCAUAUAGAUUGGCCGCAGAGAACAAAUAUGCUGCUGCAUGUGGACUGACAACAGUUGCAGUAACCAGCCUGUACUUGAACAUAAAUCGCAGCACAGCUAGAGCCAACGCCGUCAAGAAGCAUGCAGUGAAGCAUGUUGCAGCAAUGCUGGUCCAUAGGAUCUGCAGACAGGUUUGGCAAGGUGGCAGUGUUGGCUACAUGUGCGCAGCUACAAGGAACAAUGCAACAAUCCACGUGACAACCUCCACAAUAAGUCUUCUUAUAUUAGAUUAGAAAAAAAGUCUAGAUGCCACAUAACAUAUCAACAGUUAAAUUCAAUUUCUACUGCCGACUCUACAGGAGUAGUAUGCGCCGUAGAAUCUCUCUUUUUUUACUUGUCGUUUAGAAAAUCAACAUGGCCUUGAAUAAAUUUGUUUAGCAUUAUUCUUUACAAUUAUUUAUCAGUAAAAACUACUAAGGAUAUAAUCAUAUAAUAGUUUUUAAUGUCUAGUUCACUCAUUUCAUUUUCAUGUGCCAAAUGUUAGAUUUUGUUUUUGAGAUUUGCUGCAUGCAUUCUAAAAAGAGAUUAAUUCAGGUGAGAGAGCACAAAAUUAAAACAAGAAAAAGAAUUGUGCUGUGUUCAAGUCAGCUAAUUGUAUUCAUUAAUUUUUCAUGGUCUACUUCAAAACUGGGCAGAUCAACACAUCAUGGUUUAUUACGACACCAUCUUGUAUUGAAUAGGUAAGACAUGCCAAUACAAAAUUUAACCAUUUUCUUUAAGUUAAUCAUGCUGACCGUUAAAAAUGUCCCAACACUAAAUAUUAGGUUGCCUGUUCUAACCGAUACAUACACUGUGUCAUUUUUAAGCUCGCAUAGGACUAAUAAUAAAAUGUUGCUAUUGGGAUUUGGGAUUAUUAGUCAAACACAACACAACAAUUGCAAAAGGUAACCUUAGCCAAAUGGAAGGUAUAAGUUCUGCAUAUCUAUAUAACUAUCUGACAAGCUCAAGAUUAUUGGUUCAACUGUCAGAUGUUCUCAGGAUUAUUGGUUAAUUAAGAUUAAGAAAAUAAAUCAUUUCAUUAUAAAGCUAACACUAUUCCAUUUUGUAGCCUUCAGAUAUUUAAAAUGCGAAAAUCCAUAUACCUCAGUUCUAAAUUCUUCAAGAGCAUCACUUGAAAUAUCUUGUUGCAAGAAUUUCUUGACCGCGACUUCCUACACAGAGGGGCAAAUUGCUAUGAUGCAAUAGAAGCAGCACAAAGAUGGAAAUGGUAGACAGUUUUUACUAAUCAUGCAGAGUGAAAAAAAAAUGAGCUCUGUAUAAGUUAAAUCAAAUCAAUCAUUUGUAGGUUAGCUGCUUCAAUUUUAACAUUCUUCACCUUCAAGUCCAAGCAUCUACAGUUCAGGCAGGAACACAUAAUAAUAAUAAUAAUAAUAUAGUUGUGAUAACUAUUAUAAUAUGUCAGAAACCUUUUUUAGGGAGAAUGAAAUGCCUAAGGCUAAGAAAUUGUUUAAAUAUACCUUGAUGACUACUAGAUUGACAUUGACUUAAAAGUGGAUCUCAUGUCGAUAUAUAGAAAUGAGUAAAAUGCACCCCAAGGUCCCUAAACUUGUACGCUGUGUCAGUUAGGUCCCUAAACUUUCAAAAUGCAUAUUUGGGUCCCUAAACCAUUUAAAGGGGUUCAUCCCGGGUCCCAAGCACGCCGGCCUUUUUUUUUAGUAUCGACGUGGCAUGCCACGUGGUCGCCAUGCUGGCAAACAUUUAUAAAAAUCACCCUGCAGAGUGUUCUCUACUCCUAUUUACUCUUCUAUCUCUCCCUCUGAAUGGCAACUCAAGGGCGAGCUGCCCAAGGCCAGGCCAUAGCCGGUGGUGGCUUGGCCGGCCGUGGGCUGCUGGCGUUGGGCUGGACGGUGGUGGCGCCGUGGCCAGCACUCAUAGGCGCAGGGCCGCACGGAGGUGGCCUGCAACGGGUGGAGCGGUGGCAGCGAGUUGGCCGCGGCGGCGCGAGGGGCAGCCGAGAAAAGGGUCGGGGAGGCGAGGGCGGCGCCAUGUUGUUCACUGUGGGCUUGUCUUGGGUGGAGGAAGGCCGGAGGAGGUUUGUCGGCGUGCGGCUCGGAGCUCCGGCGGACUUCAAUGGCGACCGGCUGGGUGGAGACGAUUCCGGCCGGAAAACGGCAGGAAUGGGUGGGGAAAGUGGCAGGGAAGUUGGAGGAGGAGGUGGGGGAGGCUAUCGCGGAGAGAAUCGAGGAGGGAAGGGGUGUGGCCAGCGUAUUGCGGCCGGCGGCGGAGGCAACUCAGCUCGGCCGAGCUGGAAGAAGAGAGAAAGGGGAAGAAUGAGGGGAAUGGUGCCGAGGAAAAGGGAGCGCUGGCCUGAGGCGCCCGCAGCCCCACGUGUUGCUGGCGCACCUGCCCGUGGUCAUCCGGUCCUCCACAAGCAGGCAAGCCUCAUGCCACUUGUGGAACUCGACCCGUCCGUGGCGUGCUUCGUGACGCACGGCGGGUGGAACUCGACCCUAGAGGGCGUGGCUUGCGGCGUGCCGCUGGUCGUGGCGCCGCAGUACUCAGACCCUGGCUCGUCGCGGAACAAACGGGCGCCAUCGUCCACGCGCGAGGUGGACGUCACCGUGGAGGCCGCGGAGCUGGCGCGGUGCGUGGCGGGUGUGACAUCAAGGGCGGUUGCGUCCUGUGGAGGUAGGAGGCGAGGGCGGCCAUGGCCGGGGGGGAGGGGGCUCGAACUGGAGCCUGACGGAGUUCCUGAGGCAACUAGCAGAUCACGCGUAGCUCGCUCCGUUUCCAGCGAAAAAUGAACGAUAAUUGAGUGUGAUUUGGUCGAGAAAUCGAUUGCUAGUUUUAAAAAUGGGAAUAAAACUCCAUUGAAGGAGAUCGACACGGAUGGCUCCAAUCCAAAAUGGCGCAGGCCGGAGAGAGAGAGAGAGAUUGGAGAAGAAGAGAGAGGGGGAAGGAGGGAGAGAGAGAGGAUGCGGAAUGUGGAGGACUCUUUUGCAUAUCGAUGCCAUGGUGGCAUGCCACGUCGGCACUGGGAGCACGCGUGGCGUGUUUGGGACCUGAGAUGGACCCCUUUAAACGGUUUAGGGACCCAAAUAUGCAUUUUGAGAGUUUAGGGACCCAACUGGCAGUCUGGCACAGUAGUACAAGUUUGGGGACAUGUGUGCACUUUACUUUAUAGAAAUAAUACCCCCUCGGGUAUUCAAGGUUAGUACUAUAUCGUUGUGGUACUUAAUUGCUCAAAUACAAAAUUCAAGACAUGAUUUAUUGCAGCCAUGUGCCUAGCUGUAACUUGUAACAAGAUUUAGCAAACAAUGUGCCUAGCUGUAACUUGUAACAAGAUGUAGCGCUACCUCAGUUAGGUGGCGUUCAGUGGCCCUAUAAAAAGGAGUGCAGGACUUCCUAUGCAGUUGCAACAAAGAAUGGAAACUGUUCUAAAUUUUGCCAAGGUGAAAUAGCGGGGAUUAUUCGAACAUAAUCUUUCUUCAUCACAUUAGAUCUCAUUCUACCAUAAGUUUAGGCUUAUUAUUCCAACCUGAUCUCAUUCUAAUUUAGUGAGACAAGGCAGAUGAAGAACUUACUGUUCCAUGCCAUUCACCUCUGUAUACUUCUCCAAAAGAUCCUGGAGAUUAAAGAAGCAAGUCAGAACAGCAUUGAAAAUACAAGGCGGUGUGAUUUCACGUUUCAAAGUAUAUUUUAUAUUAUUUUCAGUUAAGAAAAGCCGUGACUUAGGAAUGGCAAUCUUUAGCCAGUAACAUUGCAAAUAAAUUGAUAGUUAUACAAACUGAGCAAUGAAGAAAUUGAAUUUGAAAAAAAUCAAGAGAAUUGUACCCAGCCCAACACGUUCUCCAAGAGUAAGAUCUUCCCAUUGGAUUUCAAAUUCUGCAACAUCAUCCAGAGCAAUUUCAGAUCUUGCACUCUCUGUCCCAGUUGACCUAUCAGAAACUCGCUCAGCUUCCUGAGGUGCUUGAACCGAAUCCUUUUCAUGCUCGACGGCAUUAUCCAGCUGAUCGUUUUCCAACAAGUCAUGUUUACCUUUUUGGAUUGAUUUGGUUGAUGAACUUGGCAAGCAAAGCAAUUGACAACCAGGAUCAAGAUAUUCAUAUUGCUUGUUAACAGCAGCAGUAGUAGCGACAACUGCAGCAGCAGUGGCUGCAGCUGCAACUGGCACAUCUAGUUUGAUAUCGCUGUUAGAUUUAGCUGCAGCAACGACCAUUGAAGACGCGACCACGGCAGCUGUUGCAACAGCAGCAGCUGUAACAGGCAUUUGCUUUAUAAGUUGUAAUGGAUUUUCCUGGGGAGGUGCAGAUGGUUCAGACAGAGGUACAGAGGGAGCAGCAUUAUCCCGGGAAUCAAAUGGAUGGUAAACACCCAAUCCCUGGACAGGCUUAAGGUCAAGAGGCGUCCGAUAAGGAACAAUCUUGAGCUCAUGUCCAGGAUGAUGUGGCAUUGGAGGACCAUGGCCACCAGAACAGUCGUGUGCUGUGGAUUCAAGCUCAUUCAUUGUCCUUAUCAUUUCAUCUUUCGUUUGAAAUACAGAUGUGUCGUAAACAAUCAGGUCUUUUGGUUGUUCCUUUGAUUCUUCUGAAAACAAGUCAGGUGGUGGCACAACUCCACUUUCAAGUAAUACAGCAUGGAUCUUUUCUGCCAACUGGGGGUUCUCCUUUGCAGCACUAAUCAUAUACUCUGAGACAUCUUUCACUUUCUUCCUCCGUACAGCUGGAGUACUGCCCAUCUCAGAAGAUGGAGGCGAACUUGAUGACGAAUUAUUUGAUGUGAUCGACUUAUCUUUGCUUUUUGAAGUCAUGAUAUGAUCUGCACUAGAUUCAUGAAUAAUAGGCACAUUUUCACUUGCAUAUGUGGAAAUUGAUAGUUCCUCAAAUGAACUUGAUACCCCAGACCCAGAUACGUCAUUAUCAGUCUGGGCAUUUGUUGCUCCAUAUGGACCAGAAUGCCCAGCAUUUCUAGGUGUGAAUCCUUUUUCAAGCGAUUCAUUUUCAAAUGAACCGUGAAUGGAACUUGAAGCUUCACUGAAAGAAUAAACCAACUGAGUGUCGCUGUCAUGUUGAUCAUCAACGAAUAAACUGUCUUCCACUUCUCUACCCAGGUCGGCACCAUCUGAUGGAAUCAGAGUACCAGGAUCUACCAUGAGAUCGACAAUGCAUUCCCUGUAAACAUGUUGUGCGUUACCGAUGGUAAUGUAUUAACUUAAUGCAAUACCCAUUACUAACAUAAGGGGCUGAAAUCAGAAAUCUGGACAAACCGAUCAUAAUCCCUAAUAUCCAAGUACUAAAAGAAUAACUUCUACCAUCAAGGGAUUGGUAAGCACAGUACCUUCCAUCAUUAAAUUUCACAAUGUUCAAAGCUCCAUCAUCUGAUCCAGUGUACUGCCUUCCUUUAACUAGUCGACAAGGAACAGCAAGGCUGUCUGCCAACACCUAGAUGCAAGUAUGCAGAGAAUAGGCAUCAAAAUACUGAAAGACCAGAAACAAAUAAGUUUGCAAGCAUCAACACAAGUUGAACCGUUAUGUCAGGAGUUCAGCUGGGUACAUUACAAAAAUGAAGUCAGGUUUUGUGCUACUAACUAAACAAGGAUAACAAGAAAAUGAUCAUGUCAAAUUUUGUAUUGAACAGAAGAUAUUGCAUUUCAAAAUGAUUGCCAUCCACGAUUGCAUCUCUACUGCUUAUUGUUUAUGACAGAUUUCAUAAUACCAAAAGUAAUGCGCCUCAGAUUGCUCACCACAAUGUGAUUUGUUACUGACCUUAAAAAGCAGUGCACGGUGCCGAGCCAAACCAACUUUUAGCCGCCCAAGAGGUAUAACUGCACUUCUUAUAUCAGCUCUCAAUGCACUGGUCAUAUUCCGGUACUUCAACAGCAUGCUUUCUGGAUCAACCACUGGUCCACCCAUAUAGUUGGAAACUAAAUUAGCUAGAGUCUGAACCAAAGUGCGGCCAACAAACUCUGAAUUUUUCGAGCGAAAUUCCACACUCAUGAUAAAUGCCUUCUGCUCCAGUGCUACAAGCUCAGAGUCUAGUGUUCUGUUGACCAAUACAGCUUCGGUUUUGGCUCCAUGUGAAAAAGGCAGCGCUUGCAGUUCCAUCAGAGAGGGUAUGGUCGAUAAUGUUGGCAUGGCCGAUAAUGUCGGCUCAUCCCCAGUUGCACAAAGGUCAUAGAAACCAUCCAAAAUUUUGUCGUCGUAGCUAAGGGCAUUGAAACUCUGUGAAGCACGAACAAAUCUACCAUAUGAGAAGUAAGAAAAUGGUAAGAGUCACAAAUACAUACAGCAGUUUUACUUCUUUACAAUAUCUGACGAAGGAGAACAUCUAAUGGUGGCUAGUGGCUGCUGCUAAUUCUAGGCUGCUGAUUGAGUGUUUCAGUGCAUUGCAAAUGCGCCUCCUAAAAAAGCAUGGUAGCCAUUAGCUUCUAUAAAGCAAGCCAGAUGUUCAUUAUGGUGAAAAACAACUAAACCAAACAACUAAACCCCACUACUGCAAAUCAUGGUCUAACUUUUUUUCCUUCAAAAAAUAAAAGAAGGUCGGAUUAUGAAUGGUAGACCAAUCCAUGGUGUACUGUUCCUGACUAACGUAAUUUCAGAGAUAUACCAGAAAAGGAAAUAAGCAUACAUACCAUAACGAGCUAAGUUACGUAACUACACUAUCCCAUGCUCCGAUACCCAUUCCGUUCCAGGAUAGAGUUCAACAUCUAUCAGAAGAACACCACCAUGAUGCAACUCACGUCUGGCCAAACUACCGCACGAAAUCCCAUUUCGGCUCUGACGUUCAAUUCGCAUGAACAUAGCACGAUUCAGAUCGCAUCACAGUAAGGGAACAAUCUACUUACUAGAAGAUAGUCAGAUACUAGGAUGGAGAGGUGGGGAUGGAGAUGCUGAGUACCCAGUAUCGGAAGGCGACGACCUCCGCGGGGGAGCUCUGGAGCGGGCAGGAGCCGAGGCUGAUCUGCUUGGCCACCUCGAUCUGCAUCGCCUCGGGGUCCUCCCGCACGCUCAUCUCGAGCGCUAGCUGCAUGUGGUAGUCCUCCAGCUCCGCCUCCCGCUUCUCCUUCUUCUCCAUCUCCACCUCCCGCUUCCUCUCGUCCUCCGCCUCCUUCCGGGACUCCUCCUCCCGGGCAGCCCUCCUCUCCUCAACCGACGAAGCCAGCGCAGUCGCCAACGCGUUCUCCUCCGCCUCCACCUCUGCCGCCGUCGCAGCAGCAGCAGGCGCCGGGAGGGGCGGCGGCGCGUGCGGCCGCCCAGUCACGGAGCUUAGCCAGCCCGACAACCCGGAGGCGUGCUUGUGCUCGCCCCCGCCGCCGCCGCCCUUCUUCGUCGGCGGCGGGGGAGGUGCCGACAGCGACGAGGCGCCGUCGCCGCCGGCUGAGUCGCCGAUGUGCAGCUUCCUGAGGAAGUUCUUCAUCCCUCCGGCGCCGCCGCAGCUACCGGUGGUGGGGCGGUGGAUCCAGCAUGGCUACGGAUGCGGCUGCGGAGGCGGGCAGGAGGUGGAGUGCGAGGAUUGACCUGCUCGCGUGCACCCCAAGCCGCAUUAAAUUAUUCCCGUUAUUUGCUUCGCCCGCUGCAACUGGCUGCUGCUCCGCUCCGCUUGCUUGCUCGCUCCCACGACGAGCUGACGCAAGCAGUAAUCCAAAUUUAGUCUGGCUGAACCGGAAAUUCGGGUGCUCGAGUGCGAUUGGUGGGCGGCGACUAAUUAAAUACGGAAGGGCGCCCGGCUGGCGGCUUUCGACUUCACACCUAGUUCGCGUGACAUGUAGGGUCGCGGCUGAGUGGCCCCACGAGCCAGUGAAAGCAUUACGUGGCGCCUGCGUGACGUAACCUGACCGGCGGGGUGUACGAGCGGAAGUGAUUAGUCUGACGAGAGCAAAGAAAAAGGGCGACAAGCAGGACGGGGACUCGAUCUGGCAUGCUGGUGGGGGCCGCCUGCGGUCGGCCCACUUGACCGUCGCCGGGUCGGGAGCAGGCAGGCAAGUUGGCCACUGGUGGGUCUUCGCUUGCUCGGGCCCCGCCCCUCGUAGGCCGCGCGCCCACCACCAUGUGGGGCCCGGGACCCGCGCGCGGGUGGUGCUGCGGAACCGACGGCGCACGCAGGUGGGCGCGCGGGUGUGUGGUUGCGUGUGGUGGGACCCACCCCGCGCAGCCACGAGCGUGUGGGCCCUCCCCCUCGUGGAAUUUCUCGGGCUGUAACCUGGUUGGCUCGGUGCUCGCAGUGGCUCAUCGCUUGUUUGUAGUGGCGCUUUCACGCGGUGUAGCGUAGGGGUUGUUUGGUUGUCUGCCUCGGACGCCGCGUCACAUCACAUAUCUCACGCCGUAGGUGUAGCGGCCGAAUCGGCCGCUUGGUUGUUUGCCUCGGACGCCGCGUCACAUCACAUAUCUCGCGCCUCGCGCCGUAAGUGUAGCGGCCUUCUUAACUCGGAGAUACUCCUUCGGUACUACUUGGCUACUAUUUGAACAGAAGGCCGCCGCACCUUAGACGCGGUGUGGCACCAUCGGUGAGUGGGCAGGCAAACAGCCCUUUAACCUCCUCUUCUAUCUUCGCUUCGCACGACGGAGGGAGGCCCAGUUUACGGGUGCGUGCACGUGGAAAGUUCGUGCGGCCACGGUGGCAUUGAAGAUUCUGCGUUCUAGACUAAUCCCCGCCUUCGGUAGGCGGUAUACGUACCAGUAGUAAGUAGUCACUUCUUGGUCAAAUUUUAGCGUUGCAAACAUUUUAAGCUUCUUUUUUUCUUUUGCGAAACGCAGCUUUGUGGUCGCAGCUUCUUGUGAACGGUAUAUUUGCCUAUUUUUUGUGUGCAUGUUUCUUCAAAGUCAUGGCACGAGACUUCUCUAUUCUCACGGAGAACUGCUGAACUGUACACAUCUGUUGACAAUGGUUCUGCUGGCAUGGCCAGGCUUUUUUUUUUCCCCUGCUGAAGUCUGUAUAGUUAUCAAGUGUAGACAGGAGAUAAAAUAAGUCAGAAAUGAGAAAGAUACAAUAUGGCAGGAUGUGGAGACUUGUUCAACGGGGAGCAGAGCUUGGAGUGUAGUAUGAAGCUUCCUCGCGACGCCGGAUGCGAGGGCUACUGCUAAAACCCGACAAAUGCCUAGCACUGGCAGCCUGGGAGAGAUCGAAGGCACAGUUGGACAAACAAGUCGCGAGUAUUUAAAUACGGGUUACGAGAUGCACAUCCACUGGGUUGAACGGACAAACGGUUAUUAAUAACCUAGUGGGACAAAAAUAUUCUUGCAUGUAAAAGAGGGGUUCUUUUCCCCGGUGAGUGUAGGUGGAUCUAGAAUCAAUUGUGUAGGCAAGAACUUUCUUUUUUGCGAAUGUGUAGGCAAGUACUUUAACGACAUGUAGUAUACUAGUUUAAGAUUUGGAAUAGUUUGAUUCAGAACAAACUUAAAAAUACCUACAUUUUAGAACGGGUGAGUAUUUGCCAGAGACUUCUUCUGAAGUUUCCAAGUAAAUCAUCACACAUUUGAAAAAAUAAAUUAGAAAUCUCCAUGUUAUAUUACUAAUAGGGGUGUACAACUACGUUUUGGAUUAAAACCAAACCCAACCAGUCCCUCUCCUUAUGAACGUACAGUAACAACGGGGGUUAUACUUGUACAUACCUUACUGCUGCCGGUUUGGACAAUUUGGGUUUCAAACCAGUCUGAGCACCCCUAAUUACUAGUUAAGAGACCUCUUGGACUUAUCCUGAAAUCUGAAUGACACAGGAUGCACUAGAAAAAAAAAUAGAAAUUCUAAAAAAUAUUAAAGCAAUUUUGAAUAUUGGUUACUCAUGAAUGUCCAAUCCUUAUAUAUUCAAAAUUAAUAGUUGAUAGAUUAGUUUAUAUAUGAAUAUGAAUGUAUGACGGGAGAACUGCUCUGGUGGUUUGUAUGAUGCAAGGGCACAGAAUUUGACUUGGUUCGUGUUUGGCUCAAUUGACAAUUAUUAGUUCAAACGAAAGCAGUCUUAACCAGUUAUUAUGGGCUUAUGUCACCCCUGAAAGGAUUGUUUCUUCAUGGCGUGGUGUAUUUUGGAGAAUUGGUGAUUGAUUUCUUCGUUGUUCCUGACAACCCAUGACCUGAGUCAAGAAAAAUCGCCCACAACAGCCUUUCGUUUUCUUUUCUUUCUCUACAGUUUCUAGCAAACAGGUUGUGCUCCUGUUCAAUAUUUCAUUGAUUAAUUCGUACCCAUCCUCCGAAUAUCCGUACUGUGAAAUUAAGUCGUAAAUUGUAAAAAAAAAAUUUGAGGAACUAAACAACAGUUUCGUAGCGUAAGCAUUUGAUACUAUGAUUAUGAAGUUUCAAAUAUUCCUAUGUUUAACCUUUUAUACCACCAUCACAGCUGUGCCAUUCCAAAUUGCUCCUCAAAUAGUUAACAUUUUGACACCCUCAGAACAGUAACUAACUGCACACAAUUAUUAUCAGAUAAAGGAUGCUACCAAUAUGAAAGAAUAAGUAUUACAUUUAUAUUACACUACAUUAUCCUUUGCUCACAUUAAGAAAAAUAGAGAAAUAUUUAGGCAGCCGGAGGUAUUCAGCAAUGACUAAACAUACUAGGAUCGCAUAGUUUACAUUCAAUUAAAUGUGAACCUCAUUUCUUUUGAUCCAAUAGCCUACAUGAUUUCAAACUUUCAUCUAGCCUUCCGGUAGAAAAGGGGGGUAGCAAAACACCUCGCGUGAGUGGUAGAAGGUAAUGUAGGCUUUUUCAUGGAAGUAAAACUCGUUUACAAUAACUGUGUUCUACCAAAGCUAACAUGAAAAAAAUCUUUGAAGGUGACGUAAACGCAAAAGAAGAGUUCGCAAGAAUAAAACUCCACAUGGCAUCAGCAAAAUGGCUGCAGACAGUUGAUAUUUUGCCUCCACCGCUGCUGCCCGGCCAAUGCUGCUGGUACGCACCAGCUGACACCAUGGGGACUAGUUGACUUGCAUGACAUGUACCAAACUACACAGCUGAUCAGCUUCAACAUCAAAUUGAAGAAACCUAUGUAGACUCCUAAAUGGGAUCUUCACUGCAUCUGCAUACUGAAUUAUCGAAGGGGUCGUCUGUGACCAAAUCAUGAAUAUGCCUAACGUGUACCAAACCAAAUAACUCAUUAUCAAACUUGAUAUCAAACUCUGCAAUGUGAGAAGAUCUGGUCUCCAGCUGUAGCUUCUUACGCAUAACAGCCAAGAAUCAUCAUAUGUUCCAGCACUCUGGCAUUCACGACAAAGAACUUGGCGAAAUUUACUUCUGAUUCGCUCCCCGCAUAACAGGUUCACACCAACCUUUUGAGGUGGAGAUCAAGGCAUUCUAGUUGAUCAUAGCGCUGCUCAUUUUUGCAAUUACGUUGACUGUACAACUGAUAAGAAAACUGAAAGGAGAAACAAGCACGCAUGGAAAGCAUUUCAAAUAUGAACAGUUGUGGGACAAAAUGAGCAACAGUAAAUUAAAAUCAUCUCACCUCAAUAUAUAACUUCUCCACACAUGGAAAGCAUUUCAAAAGACCAAUGACAAGAUCCAGAUUAGAAGCAAUGAUUAGAGCCAAAGUCUUCACUGUACGCACCGAGGUAGACAAGGUAACAGGCAUCAUUUUCUGAAACAGGCCAGAAACAUGAAAUGUAAGAGUGAGAGCAUAUAAACAUAAAUAAAUGGUUAGGACAUUUAUGACUGCAGCUACCUCGAAAACCAGGGUCCCAAACUGAAAUGUGGAUAUGCAGUGAUCCUCUAGAUAUCCCAAUAUCUUCAGUUUGGGAGCCUGAAGCACCCGGAUUACCAUAAAAUAUCUAACAUUGCGGGGAAUCAGCCUUUCUAACAGUGGGACAUCCUCAACAAUGAGUUCUUCGAGCUCCCCCGGUUGCCUACAGUCACCAUUGGACACACCAAGGCUCCGAAGUGUCGGGGAUCUUAUCCGGAGACGACGAUAGCCAACAUUACAACAAAGGAGCAAGCUCUCCAGGACAGAGGCAUCCUGAUAGCAUUCCAUGGAGGGAGCUCUCGGAGAUUCCGACGCGCUUGAGAGUGAGUUGCUUGAGGCGAGGGAAGCUGAGAGUGCGCAGGCGUUCUCCGUGGGGAGCCGAAGCACGCGGUAGCUCGAGCAGAUGCAAAGGUUGCAGAGGGUGGAUGAGAAGCGACACGUGUGGAUAGCGGCAGCAAGAGAUCCCCCCGGCGUUGGAUAUACCACGUCCAAAGGCAUGGUAGAACAGCUCGAACUCAUGGAGGGGCGGACAAACGGAGCCAGCCGUCGACGGUGACGGCGAGGAGGCGGCGGGACCAGCUGAUGUCGUCUUCCUCGUACCAAUGGAGGGAGAAGCGGCGCGUGCGGCCCUGGUGAGAGGAGAGGAUACCGGAGGCCAGCCUCACCAGCUCCUCUUCCUCGUCGCUGUUAACGACCACAGCAUUGAGGUUGAGGGGGGACGAGCGCCACAGGGGCCGCCACCGGCGCGAGAGGGCUUGGGUGCGGGCGCCUUCCUCGGGUGGGAGGAGGGUGAUGAUGUCACCGAGGACGCCAUCCGGGAGGAGGCUGAUGAGGACGCGGCCUUCGUCUUCAUCGAUCCCGGCUGCUUGCAGCUUCCGUCUCUUCGACCCGGUUACCACCUCCAUGGAGGGAUCGUCUCACCUAGCGAUUAAGGCCUAGGAUUGGUAAACAAAGGUGCGAUUAGGAGGAUUCGAAACACGAUUCCAUCCAUUCUACGUCUAUCCAUUGAUCACUGCAACUUGGAUUGGAAGCACACACUUAAAAAUUGAAAUUGGGGCAAGGCAAACCCGAAUGGAGUAUCACCUGCGUGCUGCCUGUCAGAAGCCCCCGGCUUCCCGUCGAACAAGCAGGUGCACAGGUUCGACGCCAACACGCCCCCGCCGUCUCCGCGGAACGGUCGCCGCCGCCGAUAGGGAUAGCAAGAAAUCGGAGUCGGAAUGGUUAAAAGAUGCUCGUGUUUGCUAUGCUCUCCGCGCUUCCCGCGUCAAAUCGGACGCGUGUCGAUCAGCGUGCGGAGGCCGCGCAUCAGCCGAGGAGUCCGUCGCGUGAAAGCACGUGCCGCCGGGUUCAGAUUGUCUAACGUGCUGAAGCGAAGUCACGCGUGAUGCACUCCGUUUGCCAUCCAAUCGAACGGUUGAUGAAGGUACAUCUUUCCCAGCACCUAUGUAGAGCGUCAGCCCAGCUGCCAAUUCUAGUCUAAAUAUGGCCCAGUUCGCGAGAAGAGUAAGGAAACAGAGCUGAACAGAUAUUUCAGUGCAUUAAAACUCUGCUUUUGUACAAAAUUAAACAAGAAUUUCACUUUAACUAAAAUAACCGUAAUAAGCUUUACUAAUGACUACUAAUCCAACGACUCAUAUAGCUCAAAAAAACAAUUAAUAUGACAAUGGAAGCUGUAGAAUAAAUAGACAUUUCGUUUACAGUUUCAUCAGUUCCAUGCUCUGAAUAUCUAAUAUAAUCCCAUCCAAAAGGCACUGCUACAACUAGCGACAUUGUACAGUCAGCCGUAGAUUUUGCUUGGCUAUGGGAGCUCCACCAAAGACCACCAAUUAGCAAAUUUGUGGCAAUGGGAGCUCCACCAAAAACCACCAAUUAGCACAUUUGUGCUAAACGCAUCCUCCCAAAAGAACAAAAUAACAUUACAAAAGAACAAAGAUCCUUGCAGAUGGCAAUAGCUACAGAUUUAGGUCCCUAAAGAAGUUCAUGAAUAGGGAUAUCAUCAAUUUCACUAGGAUCCUGCAUAAGACAUAAGAAAGGUUAAAACAGGGCAACAGUAAAACUAGUUUAGACAAGUUGAAAUAGAGCAACGCUGAGUUAAAAUUACCAUAAGCAAAUCUCUAAAGUUAGUAAAGGCAUUACUGUCCUUGUGAGUAUUGUCCAUUGGUGUUUGAGUUCCUGCAUCACAACCAUCGUCUUGAUGCUGCAUAAAGCGUAUAACCGUGUUAUUUAGAAGACAACAGCGAAUAACUUAAAUAUAAUACAAGGGUUUUGCAGCAGCAUACAUUAGAUUUAUUUGACACUUUCUUUUUGAAUUUCCUUGUCUUGUCGAGCCAGCUUCUAGGUCGCUUCGAACUUCUUGGUUGGACAUCUUUUUUCUUUAGGCGAGCAGCACCAAGUAAAUCAUCGCCUUGUUGAACAUUAGGCUGGGCAGUACACGAUUCACUCAAAAUACUUCUAGAUGCACUGAUUUUGUCCUCUAGUUGCUUACCAAGGCUAUCAAGUGUACUAUCUAUCACUGAACAACAUUCCAGAGAGCUUGCAGCUUGAUAUGCCAAGAUCAAAAAUUUGUGAGACAAAUACCUAUAGCGAAGCAUAGCAUCCAAUUUUGGAUUUUCAAUGAUGCUCCUUCCUUUGUUGUCAUGUAUAGUGCCAUGCCUUGCUUCGCUUGUCCAACGUUUCAGAAUACAAUGGUCUGGUAGUAACUUAAUAUUCAUCAAGUCGAGAACUUUCAAAGCAUGGGCACACAAUACCCCGGUCCUUGUAAACUGCUCACAAUUACAUGAUGCCCUUUGCUCCAAAGAAUUACCAUCAACUAUGCGCUCUUGUUCAGAACUUAAAUCACCAUUAGCCCUCACAAUUGCAACAGCAUAUGUGUUAUUUCCACCCAAUGAUCUAGCACAAGCAGCCAUGCUUAUUUCAUAUUCGGUUUGGAAUGAUUCAAAUAUCGGGGGGUGUAAAUUUUGCUUGCUUGCACUAACAUAGGUGUGUUCAUUCUUAUUCUAGGUAGCUUUUUUCUAGCUUCGAAUACUUCAUCAAGCUCUUUGUUUCUUUUUAUUUGCACAGCCUUUUCAAAAUGCUUCAAGAAACGAAUGAUGUCAAGAUCCAACUUCAAAUGUGUUUUUAAGUCACUAUUAAAACUCUCACUUAGUUGUGUGCUUCUCAUUCCCAAUGUAAAAAUAUCCCUCAUGUAACAUUCAGCCCACUGUUCCUUGAACUUGUAGAUGUUAUCUAGCCAUGAUGCCUUUUUUUUGUCCACCUUACUCCUUAUGAUGUCAAAUGCUUCCGCAAAGGCUCCUUUGUCCUCAAUGUUAUACAUGCAAGCACUAAACUCCGAGAGAAUGUGAGGCUCUUCUUUUUCUUUAUCAUCAUCAUCAUUUUUACCAUUGCUUAAGUGCUUGACAGCAUUCUGCAUUAUGUGAAAGGUGCAUAAUCCAUGCCAAGCUUCUACAAAUACCUCUCGAACGGCCUUUCCCAUUGCGAUAUCUUGAUCAGUAAAUAUAGUUCUAGACUGUUUACCAUUAUGUGCUGACAGAAAAGUCUGAAACAGCCAUGUGAAAGAAGCACAUGUUUCAUCAAACAAAAGAGCAGCUCCAAAAAUGACGGUUUCUCUAAAUUGAUUGAACCCAACAAAGACGCCGAAAGGCCUAUAUUCUUUGUUUAUACCAAAGGUAGUGUCAAAUGUGACAACAUCCCCAAAGUGAGCAUAAUCAAUUAUCAUCUUAGCAUUAGCCCAAAAUAUAUUGGAUAUUUGUUCCUCACAGUCCAAUUGCACAGCAUAGUGAAAAGAUGGGUUCUCAGAUAUCUUAUCUUGAAAAUAUUUCAACAUGCUUCCUGCUUGCCCAUAUGUCAACUCUCUUUGGCGCUUGCCCCGUAAAUAAUUUUUGUGAUCACGACAAGUGUAACUAAGAUUCAUUGCCCCUCCAACUUGCCGACUAGCCAAUUCAUGUGCAGUUUUUGAUCUAAUUCAUGAAUCAUCGGCGGCCUCAAUUUCAAAGGCCUGCACUUCUGAAAUCCUCCUUUGUGAUAACAUUAGAUGGAAGGUUUGUGGUAAGUGAAGGAUAUGAUUAUGCACAAGAAUUAGAUCGAACAAUUCAUAAUUUUCUUGUUCUCGAUCUAACGUAAGACCCAUCCGAACUGGACAACCUGUUCUUGUUUCAGCUCGAGGAUUUUUGGUGGCAUGGUCUCUCUUGUCUCGUGCUCUACAACCCUCUUUGGCACACACAUAUCUACAUGAAGUUACUUUCCCAUCGUAUUUGCUCUCAUUUGUGUACCUUUUUCUGACCUCAAAGCCUACAUGACCUCCAUAUUCCACCUAAAAUAUCCAAGCAUCAUCCAAAUUUCUAAAUUUCUGGCCAAUUUGAGGUACCCAAAUAGGACUGACAUUCUCCUUGUAUGGAAUUAGAUGCAUACAUAUCACUGCUACCAGAUAUCUGGACGGAAACAAAAUAAAGGAAAACGAUUGCAAGUCUAACUUACCUGUUGCCUUCUUCCACCGAAUCGUGGUUGGUUGUUGGUUGCAGCACUGCCUCCAGCAAGCUUGAACGCGGUCCCCCUCCAUCUCCUCCCGGCAGCACUGCCAUCCAGAGCACGUGAGGUCAGCCACUCUUCCGCAGCUCGCACAGGAGCGGAGGUCGCCCGCAGUAGGAGCAAGCUCCGUGCCGCGUCUUCCGCGCCAAUCUCGUCCAGCGGCGGCAAGCCACAGCGGCUGUUGUCCUUCCCCUUCUCGCGAACUGGGCCAUAUUUGGGCUAGAAUUGGCAGCUGGGCUGACGCUCUACGCACUGGGAAAGAUGUACCUUCAUCAACCGUUGGAUGGCAAACGGAGGGCAUCGGGCGAUGCGCAAGUCACGCGUGACUUCGCUUCAGCAUGUUAGAGAAUCUGAACCCCGUGCUGCCCCCAUCCACAUGCACGGGCCCACUAUAUCCUUCCCCCUUGCGCUUGUAGCGCCCCAAUCUUAAAUAUAGCUCAAUUGUAUUCGUACAUUGAGUAAAUUUGAGUUUAUAUGUUGGUGAGACUCAUCUCAACUAGCAAGGUAGGACAGUUCUACUCGCACGUUGAGUAAAACACGCACUCGCACCAACCCCGCUUACGCUUUCGUCCUCGCUUCGCGCAAAAGGUUAACCCGAAGGUUGAAAUGCACUUGGCACUUGGAUUUAUAUAUUGGUAAAACUCACCCUCAAUUAGUAAGAUGGGACAAUUCCCUACACAUAUCAUACCACUCACUCUUAGACCACUUGCGCGCUCAAAUCGCUGUUGGGUCGGGAUGUCACAACCUUCGCCGCUGCGGCGGCAGCGCCACCGCAGGCACUGCAAUACGGGCGCGUGCGAGGCGCAGCUGCCGGCGCGUCCGAGGCGAGCGCUGACGGGCGUCUGUGACAACGCAUAAACCUCGGCCGGGUUCAGCCGCGCGGAUGGAGCAGGCCGCCUGGCGAGGCCUACGAACGAGCUGACGCGGCGCGAGGCACGAGGCGGGCGAGAACGGCGAAGCGGUGAACGGCCGUUCUGGCCCGAGACUGACGGCAGAAGCGGCACGCGGCGGCGCGGUGAGAGAACGCGGCGACACGCGCGGAGCGGUAUGGUUCCCGUUGUUCCGACACGCGAGAGGUAUUCACACCCCAACUCUAGCCUCUUUCUUCUCCGAUCCGUCGCCGCCUCCCAUCCAUCCCAAUCUCCCUCUCACUCAAGGAAACACGGUGACAACGCGUGAUGGCGCGCGACUGCCCGGCGAGCCUGGCGGAGCUCGACGCCUUGGCACAUGCUCCACCUGAGCUCCUGAGCUCGGCGACCAUUGGUGCUCUUCUCCACCAGAUCGACAGCCAGCACCAGCAAAGCAUCUUCUCCUUCCUUUUUUAUUUUUCCAGCAAAGCAACAAAAGCUUCAUUGAUUCCCUUUGCUCUGGAAAAUUUCGAUAUUUGAUAUUAAAUCCGCGCGCCUCACUACUUUUGACAUUCAAUUUAUAAGCCUUUCAAAAUAUAAGGUUUUGUAUGCGAAUUGCUUUUAGAUUUAAGGAAUUUCUUUCCCUUUUCUUGAUUUCGUAAUUUUCUUUUUCGUUUUCAUUUUACAGCACACAUGAACUGACUGUUUUGUCCCUUACCUUAUCUCUCCUGCCCCUCUCGCUCGUCCCUGUCUCUCUCGCUCUCUUCUCACUCUUCUCAAUCGCCGGCCUCGGCUGCCCCUCCACUUCCACCACCGCCCCUGCUCCCACGCCUCGCACGCGUGCCACCUGCGUCUAUCCCGUCAUGGCGCCGCUUGCGCGUGGCCUGCUAGCCUUCGUCCGCCGCGGCACGCCGCUCGCAGUCGGCCUGGGACACCAUCCUGCCGGCUGAACUGCUCUCGCGUGAAGCCGCCCGCAGCAAGGCUGGACGACGACGUCCGCGGCGAGGCUGGAUGAGGCUGCCCGAAGUGAGUCCUCCACGCCGCUGCUCACACCUAGACGAGUUCGAUCUAGCGGAGAGGAGCUCAAUUCAGUAGGGAAUGAGCCUAAUUUAGUCUAGAAGACAUAGAAGACAUUGAUUUGGUUAGGAAGGAUUUUGCUCCGGUGGGAGCUCGGGGAGGAUUUCGAUCCAGCGUGAAACACCGUAUCUUGUUUUUCUUUUUAUUUCUUGCUGGUGAAAGGGAUUAUGGCACUUUCACUUACCAAAGCAUGGAGCCCGACGCAAGCUCGACGCGAUAGUCCGCUCUCAGCUUGAUUAGGGAAAAGUUAGGGAGGAUGUGGAUUAAUUUGGGCAGAGAAACUAAGAGAGAGCUGUUGGUUCGAUGAGGAAAGAGAGCAGAGGAAGAAGUAAGUUGGUGAAUGGGGAGGAAGGAGAUGUGCUACUUGCUGUUGCUAUUUGGAUUUGGAAGGGAGAGAUCGAUGGAGAAAGGAUGGAUGAUGGUUAGUGCCUGGGAGCCGCAGCUUCUUGCUUUCCCCAUUGGAAACGAAAGCUAAGAAGAAAGGAGGAGCUGCUGGCUUGCUUCACGUUCGUCGAGCUCGCAUGGCCGGCGGCCGGCGCAUCCAGCGACCGUCCAAGUGGUUUACAGAGGAAGGAGAGAGAAAGAAUUGAGCUACAACAUUUAUUAUGGACCUAUAUGAAGAAAUUAUAGGCAAUGGAGACCGUGGGAGCGGGGACGGCGGCGGGAGCGGAGGGGCAGCGGAGGCCGGUGAUUGAGAAGAACGGGAAUAGAGCGAGAGAGACAUGGACGAGCGAGAGAGGCCGGGAGAGACGAGGUGAGGGGUAAAACGGUCCGUUCAUGGGUACUGUAAAAUGAAAAUGAAAAAGAAAAUCUUGAAAUCAAGAAAAGAAGAAGAAAUCCCCUGAAUCGAAACAAUUCGCAUGUAGAGGGUUAUAUUUCGAAAGACUUGCGAAUUGGAUGUCAAAAACAGUGAGACACGCGGAUUCGAUGUCAAAUAUUGAAAUUUCUCCCUUUGCUCCGUACCUCCAAUCGCAUUCCAAUCCAAUAUGUAGCAGCUGCCCUUAAAUCCUCUUUACUCCUCAUGCCGCAUCUAUGUGUUUUCCCCACCGUGAAGGAGCAACAGCAGCAGAGAAAGGCCGCGGCUUCUCCCCACCGUCUCCCUCAAAUCGAUAGCCUUUCUUCUUCCACUGGAAGCCCCUCUGCACCUCAUCCAGCCACCUCUCCAAUUCACCAGCACUCCCCCGUGCUCCCUGUUUUUGGCAUAGACACUUCCAUCGACGAUGCCCUCAAUGUGUUCAAUGAAAUGGGCACAAGGUAUACUUGUCUUUCUAUUUUUUCCUCUUUCGAUUUUGCUUACUAAUUUUGUACAGUCCCGUAUCUAUAAGUUGUGCUUGGCAUAUUCAGGUUCAAAGGACAGUACAGAGAUUGACAUGGUGUUCUCGACUUCUUGUCCUAGAGAUACUUUGUUUCGAAUUCAUGUGCUGGUUCUUUACCAUUAGGUUAUCAGUGGACUAUUUCUUUGUCACCUUGCUGUCAAUAUGCUACAUUUGCUAGGUACGGGUACAUAAACAUACACUCUAUUUCAGUUUGGAUAUAUGUUUUAAUGCAUUAUUUAACUACUCAUCAAAAUCCCCACUACAGUCAGACUAAUGUACGUGUACCUUGUUGCUAAAAUUAUUCCCUUCCAAGCUUGCCUUCUAGAUUUCUAGGUUUACUGGGCAAAGGAAAAAGAAAGAAAAUACAGUAUAAAUCAAAUGUGCAUAUAUAUAUUAUUUAUCUUUUUUUCAGAGAUGUUAUCAUGCAAGUUUUUAUAAAAAAUAUAGAAUAGCUUUUUUUUGAAUUCUCUGCCAAAUGCUUAUUUCCUUUUUGAUAAUGUAAACUAUGUCUUCCAUUUAAUAGAUCUUUCUUGUCUAACAUCUUUCCACCGGAACAUUGGUUGAUUACAUCAUAUAUGCCAUCAAAGUUUUAUUUACCAAUGAUAUUCAUAAUAUUUAAAAUGAAUUGAUCUCUGAUAAUUGAAAACGUGGAAGGACGAACUUACCAUGAUUCAUUUGAGUCCAAUUUUUCUAAUGUCCGAAAUGCUAAAUUAGGGGAUACUUUAUUGGUACAUAUUUUAAACAAAUUUUUAUGUAUACUCAAUUAUCGACUUUGCCUUCUCAUUAUCCAUGUGCUCUCCGCGUAAAGCAAUUGGCUGCAAUAAUGAUGAGAAAAGUUGCAGUAAUAAAGGUAGUUACUUCGAUGUCUUCCUCUCUUAGCAGCUCAUCAGUGGGAUGCUUUCUUAUCCAUGGCUAAAUAUAUCUUGUAGAGUUGAGGUCUGGCAAAAAUAUGCUUUCAUGUUUCAUCCACAUUUGUUAUUAGUCUAAGACGUGCUGUACUUGACAGGAUCGUGCAAUGUCUUAAACUGCUUGUCACUGUGAAAUUUGACAUGAUGCGUAAUCUGAAACUUACAUUUGAAUAAGCCUAUUGUUUAUGUUUAUUUUUCAUAUUUUAGUCCAGCAUGUUUCACCUUUUAGUUUAUCUAUCUCAUAUCUGAUCUGCUUGCUUGUAUGUUAUUAGUUAGAUAUGGAGCAUAUUGCUCCUAUAUUCUUUUCAUUUGAUCUGCUUGCUUGAUACGUUUUUAGUUAGAUAUGGAGCAUACUUGUGCUCAUCCAUAAAACCUAAUACUCUCUAGGUGUUUCAUUGAUGUGUUUUGUUACCUUAAUGAGAUAGAUGGAUGGCUUCCUGUGUUUUACCGUUGACAUUUGGCUUCUCGACGUGUUUAUUUCUUUGCUCUAAUCAGGCUUUGAACUAUAUGCGCAUCAAAUUGCUACGUGCAGACUGAUGCCAUCUCUGUUUCUUUUUAAUGUCAUACGCAGCCUCUCUGUUUACUGUUUUUCUGGAAUAUGACAUCCGAUGCCCGAGUAUUGUUGGUUGUACCUCAAUGCGCAAUGUUAUUAAUGCAAAUGCUUUCUAGGGGACUUGGAUGGUUUGACAAUUGCAAUGUACGUCCAUAAGCAAAGCUUUGCUAGCUUUGAUUUUUGUUGCUGUGUUAAUUCUCCUAACAUAUCUACAUUUUAAUUUUCACAGAAAGCUAUCAGUUUAAUAGUGCAUAAUGUUAGAGCUAUCCUAUCUUUGAUUAUCUGUUUCUUUAAUUGCACGUAGAUUUAUGGUGCUUGGAUAUGCUGUAAUACUGAUGCUCCAAAGGCUGGAUAGACACCUGAUGGACAGGAUAGCCUGGUGCUUGAAUAUCCUGUAAUAUUGAUGCUCCAAAUGCUGGAAAAACACCGGAUGGACAGGAUGGCCUGAUGCUCGGAUGUGCUGUCAUAGUGCUAAGACGUACUGUAAUAUUCCAAGUUUUCGGACAGACACUUCAUGGAUAGGAUAGCCUGUGCUCUCAGAUAUGUUGUAAUCUUCAUAAUUCAAAUGCUGGAUAGACACCUAUGAUGGAUAGUGUACGCACACUGCUCAAAUGUUAGCAUAUUAACGAUGUAUUUGUUACCAUAUGCUAUGAUUUUGUGUUGAAUUUAUCCUAUACCAUGCAUGCUAUUUGUUACAUUGCACUACCUUCAGUUUAUUAUCUUUGAUUUACUUAUAUUUGAUUGUUUAAACGGUAGGGCACGUGUCGCGCGCCUAAUCUUCUAGUUUCGGAAAGGGGGCCUGCCCUGCCGCCUGGGUGCGGCAGCGGCGCAGCGCAAGGGAAGUGACGAUAGCGGAGAAAUGGACUGUUACUGGACCGGGCCGGAGUGACUUCUUUCAGCCAAAAAGGUCCAACUAGGUCACACGAUUUGAAUCGUUUUCUUUUUUGCUAUUUUAUUUUUCUUUUCUGAUUUUUGCAUGUCCUGUACGAGUAAUGAAUAAUGAUACUGGUGUUCAGCGGUUACCACUUUCUUAAGUGAUAAUUAUGCACAAUAAGGCAUGCCAAUCUUACAUGUCAUGAGUUAGACAGAGUGUUAGACUGAUAUAUAGAAGCAGAGCUUGAGGGAAAUGAAAUCAAAUAAGCGAGGGCCGCCUGGUCACUCGCAUGCAGCGUAAGCUAAUUAUACUUAGAGUAUCUCCAAAAGUCUUUGUAUCCUAAAAAAGAGAAAUUCUAUCAAAACUGGAUCCAACAGAGGCUGUAUUUUCCUCGGAUCGCUAUCCUACUCGAUAUUUCGCCCUCCUCGCUCGGCAAAGAAGCCAAGCCCCUCCCGCUCGCCAUCCCACCCUCCCGCGCUCCCCGCCCUGCCCUCCCGCGCUCCCCGGCUCUCCGCCCUCCCGCGCCCCGGUAGGGAUGUCGUUGGCGGGGUCGAACAAGGCGGCGAGCCAAGCGGGAGACCUCACGCUGCCACCGCCACCGGGACCUCGCGCCCUCCGCCGCUGCGCUGGGACCUCGUGCCGCCGCCACCCUCCACGGCGUCUCCUCCCUCUGUCGCGUCUCCUCCUCCACCGGCGCCUCGUCCCUCCAUCGUGGGAGCGCGCCUUCCUCCGCCACGCACGCGCCACGGGGCCGGCUGCCAGCGUGAGCACCGUGCGGGACGCCACAGGACAGCAGAACAGUUUUUUUGAGUGGAGAAGGGGAUGGAUGAAGAGUCCGUUGGUUACCCCACCUUUUGAGAAGCUAUCUAUUUUUUUACAGACCUGCUAAAACUCUAAAUUUAGCUAGAAUUUUAGCUGGCCUCUUGGAGAUGCUGUGCGUGACAAGUAUCGCAUUUAAAUGGAAGAUAUUCCAUUCAAUGCUUUUAAGAUUUAAAUAAAAGUUAAUCCAAACACAAAACUUUUCGCAAUUGUUGUAUCAUAAAAGGGAAGAAGACCACCAGUUCUGUUUUCUUUUACGCUUAUGUAUUUGAAUUUCUAGGCACUUUAGGACCAUUAGCUUUCGGAAUCUCCCAGUCAAAUGAUCUAAAAAACUAAGAGCCAAAAACACUACGAGCAUUUUAGUAUCUAGCUUUUGGAAGCAUGUGGCUUUUGAACAUCUCAAAAGCUAGUAAUCCAAAAGCCUCUAGAAGCAAAAAUAAACGUGAUCCUAGCAUCCAAGGAGUGUGCUAAGUGCCGGUAACUCAUAGCCUCAUUCAUGCUACUCACGCUCCACGCGCACAUGACCAACGGACCACGCACAUAGGAGUAGUUGUCUUUCCGAAACUACGCACACAUACACUUUCUUACUUUUGUUUGAAAUGCCGUAUUUUUCAAAAAAAAAUAUCUGUAAAAUUUUGUAUAUCAUAGAUCGUGUCAACGUCCUGAAUGACUUAUUUAUAUUUUGAAAUUUGAAUCGUGUCAACUUCCACUUAUCUGCAAAUGUGGUACACGAGAUAAUAAAAUCCAUAUGUUUGCUUGACACGCAGCAGGGCCCAUCUCACGAUCCAGGCGAGCUACUCCGCGCAGCGACCAAGCUCGGGCAGUGGCCACCCCAGUCGCCACCAGCCAAGCUGCGCAGCCCAAAAUCCACCAGGAAGCUUGACCACCGGGCGGUUUGCUCGCCCCCUCGCUUCCUCCGCCCGCCGGCCGCCGCGGCCAUACGCCUCCUCCGGAGCCCCGACCACCGCCUCGGCCGGCUCCGCCCUUGCGCAGUCAGGCUCGUCUAUACCCGCAUGGCUCUCCGCGCCGCGUGCGCUGCGGGCCGUGGCCUCCCGUCGUCCUCCUCGCCCCCUCGCGCCGGCGGCAGGCCCGGCAGCGUCGCCUUUGCCGCGCCGCUCGGGACGCGCGCAGGUACUGGGUGCGGUGUGCGUGGGCUUAGUACGCGCGCUGUUAAGAGCGUGCUCCGUUUGCAGCUGUUCAGCAUACGGUUCGCUGCCACUACUCUUCAUUGGGGCUAUGCGGCUACGCUUUAAAAAUCAACUCUGUUUUUGUAGCAGCAGCGCUAAGAGAUGGGCUUUGGGAACUUGGGGAUGGUACUUGAAAUACGAGAUAGGUGUGUAUGGCCUAGCAUGUGAUUUCAGUGCAAAUGGUACUUGAAACUGGAGGCAUUGGCAUGGGUUGGUUUGGGAGGGUGUUUUGUGUUCUGCAAAGCUGGUUGCUCUACCAGUUCCAAGGGGGUGUUUGGAUCCUAAGGGCAUCAGGAUGUUCGGAUGUUAAUUAGGAGGACUAAACAUGAAUUAAUUAUAAAACUAAUUGCAUAACCCCGGUCUAAUUCGCGAGAUGAAUCUAAUUAAUCCACCAUUAGCAUAUGUUUACUGAAGCGCCACAUUAUCAAACCAUGGACUAAUUAGGCUUAAUGGAUUCAUCUCGUGAAUUAGCCCGAGGGUUAUGCAAUUAAUUUUGUCAUUAGUCUACGUUUAAUACUUCUAAUUCGUAUCCAAACAUCCAAACAUACUUCUAAGUUUAGCCCUGCUAGAACCAAACACCCCCUAAAUGUCCAAUGCGCAGUUUUGGAUGUUGAAGUCAUACUGACCCGUGUACAUCUGCAUGAAACAUGAGUCAACAAUGUAGCAAUUCAAUGCUCUAAACAGGCUAUGCUAAGUUAUUAAUUAAAGCAGCAUCCCUUCUGCUUGAUACAAUGGGGUCACUUUACUUGUAGCUUGGCAUUUGCAUGCUAACUAAUUCUUUUUGUUGAAGUUAUGGUUCCUAAAACAUAAAGCGGCAUAGUGCUAGUAUCUUGGUUGCCUGAUCUGCCUUUGGUUACUCUUUAAAUUUUUCUGUUAAUGGAACUGGAAUUGGCUCUACAACUCUCACGUGCAUUGAUAGUGAUUGUUAUGGACCCGUCUGCGGUCACUCACUUUACAAUAUAAUGUUUUUUGAUAAAUAGAAAGAUGCUUUGUCAAUUUAACACGAUGCUGUCAAAUCCAAAGAAUCUGAUUUGAUUCCUGUUUGAUUCACCUAGUUCAAACAAAGGCGGUCUUAAGCAGUGAUGGUGCCCCUGGAAUGAGCAAUUCUCCCCAUGUAGUGUGCUUUGGCGAAUUGCUAAUUGACUUCGUUCCAACUGUCAAUGGAGUGUCAUUGGCAGAAGCACCAGCCUUCAAGAAGGCUCCAGGGGGUGCACCUGCCAAUGUUGCAGUUGGAAUCGCUCGUCUUGGUGGGUCAUCAGCUUUCAUUGGGAAGGUAACAUAUUUGCAUCUGUACUGUUUAUCUCUAUCCAGAUGUUAGUGCAACUACAGGGGUCACGGGUUACAAGCAUGUGCAAAUCCACUUUUCUGUUUGAAACCUUGGAAAGGAAAAUACAUGGGAUUUAUAUGGUAUCGAUUCACAUUUUUUUACAUUCUCGUAUGUACUUACAGUUAACUAGUGCUUGCGUUGCACUAUACGUUCAUUUAUAUUCCUGAUAGUGGUUUGUUACUUAUCCUUUUCAUCUGCAAAAUAGACCAGUCUUGUUUAUCGUCAUUGUUUAUUUUCUAUCUUCUCUGGUUUCUACUAAUAUAUUUUACACUUGUAGGUUGGUGAUGACGAAUUUGGCUAUAUGCUAGCUGAUAUAUUGAAGCAGAAUAAUGUAAACACUCAAGGAUUAAUUUUUGAUGCUCAUGCUAGAACAGCUUUGGCUUUUGUGACACUACGAAGUGAUGGUGAACGUGAAUUUAUGUUCUAUCGUAAUCCAAGUGCUGAUAUGCUACUUGAAGAAAAAGAACUUGAACUUGAUCUAAUAAGGAAGGUAUCAGAAGGCACUAUAUUGCCAUUUCAAUAGUUGCUGUCGCCACUUCUAGUAUUUCUGUAAUCAUGUAACGUAUAUUCAUGAAAAACUGAUUGUAUCCUAAUCAUGUUAUAUAUGCUAGGCAAAAAUAUUCCAUCAUGGCUCAAUAAGUCUUAUAACUGAGCCUUGUAAAACUGCACACAUUGCAGCUGCCAAAGCAGCUAGAGAUGCUGGAGUACUUGUUUCAUAUGAUCCGAAUUUGAGGCUUCCAUUGUGGUCAUCAGCUGAGGAUGCUAGACAUGGUAUCCUGAGCAUAUGGGAAACUGCUGAUGUUAUCAAGGUAACAAGUAUAGUAAUUUGUUUUAAAUGCAAAAAGUAUGUUGGUUUCUUAUUUUGUAUCUGUUGUUAAAAGAUAAGUGAAGAGGAAGUUUCCUUUCUGACGAACGGGGAGGAUCCAUAUGAUGAUGCUGUUGUGAAGAAACUUAUUCACUCCAACCUGAAGUUGCUUCUUGUCACUGAAGGUCCAGAUGGCUGUAGGUAUUAUUCUAAGGUAAUUUUACACACCUCUGAUAUGGAGACUACUACUAUUAUUCCUUGUUGUGACAUGUCAUUUUCUUUUUCUUUUCCUCCAUGAGCAUAAGCAUACUUCAUUGUCCGAUAAAAGUCACAGGAUAUUUGAUAUAAUAUUAAUGGAAUUAUUCAUUUCUAGCAAUAUGUUAACCUAGAUAUUACAUUCUUGUUUUAUACUUUCUUCAAUUCACUUGGUAAUUGUAUCUUAUGUAAGGAGGCCUAAAAUCAUUUAAAGUGCAUUUUGUAAAUAACAGGAUUUUAGUGGGAGAGUUGGUGGACUGAAGGUAACUGCUGUUGAUACAACUGGUGCUGGAGAUGCCUUCGUUGCUGGCGUACUAUCUCAAUUAGCCACAGAUUUUUCAUUGCUCCAGGUAUGACUAGAACCUACAGCUUACAUAAUAUGAGCCUGCACUUGAUUUAUUUUCUUCUUUCAGGAAGUAGGUCAAACUCUGCUGUAGGUGGUCCUGCAGUUUGCUGCACUGUUCCUGCUCUCUUUUAAUACAGACGGAUGCAUGAAAUAAUUUUAAAAUGAACUAAUGUGACAGUGUGACACAAAUGUUUGGUAUAUUUACUUCAUAGAGUCAAAGGUGCUCAGUUGGAUAUCUAUAGAGACAUGCACAAUCCGCUAAAAGCUGAGAAAUUUUCAGCAUAUGUGUAUGAAACUAAACUUUUCAUAUCCUGAAUAUUGAAAACACCCAAAAUCCAGAAGCUAUGGAUUUGAAAACUAUGGCAAAAUAAGGAAAAAAAAUCUUUGUCAAUAUAACUUCAUAUGGAACUUUGGCUUCGAAGUUUAAGAAUAGGGUCGUGUGAACUCCAUGAUAAAAGAAAAAGGCUGGCACACCUAAAAAAGAUCUAUGGUUGGUGUACUGAAUUAAAUUUGGAUUCACCAUUUUGCUUUUCUAUCAAUUCAUCUAGUUUACAUCUGAAACAAGGAAGCACCAAACCAUGUCCAGCUGUGGUUGGGGGGACUGAACGGCGUAACGGCAAGAUUAACAGCACAUGCAUAUGUUGCUACUGGUGGUUAUAAAUUUCCUGGCAUUAGAGGCAUGUUCUUUAGUCACAUGGCGCUCAGUGAUUUAGAUAUUCGCUAUAGGCUAUUCCAUGAAUAUAUAAAGUCUCAGUACUUCUCUACCGAGAUAGGCAAAGCUGAUUUCUGGGCAUAUCUUCAGUUAGUACCUCACACCUACACAAACAAGUAAAUUAUGUGUUUUUCGUUCUUGUUUGGACAUCCUUGUUCUUCAGUCUAGCCUGCUAUUUCUUGUUCCGCACACAAAUUGAGCUACACAGUUGUGCUUAACAGCAACUCAUAUUAUCGUUUUGUGUCUUAAACAGGACGAAGGCCGAUUACGAGACGCCCUGAAGUUUGCAAACGUCUGUGGAGCUCUGACAGUGACAGAGAGAGGCGCGAUUCCAGCGCUGCCGACCCGACAGCAAGUGCUCGACUCCCUGACCAGCGUCGUUGCAUGAAUGACCAGCGUCCUACUUGCUGUGUAUGCCAAUGUGGAUCAGCAGAGCGCCAUGGUAGAUCAGGUGUGAUUUCGUUUGCCUACCAAUUGAGAUCCUGGCGGUGUGACCCCACAGGCCACAUAAUCCGGUGCGAGCGGCUGUUUCUUGUCUAUUUUUUACGUGUAUAAUAAAGUUGGGACUCUGAGCCAUCACCAUCAGGUUUAUGCGUGGUGGGCAUGCCUCUGAAUACCUGUACAGCCGUGCUGGAUAAUAACAGCAGUGCAUCACGAAGCAGUUUACCACGGGAAGCAUGUCUCGGCCUGCUGUUCCUGCUCUCUCUGUUCCCCGUGCUGCUGUGAUGCUGUGUGAUCAGCACAUCAUGUGUUCCGUUUGGGCUUGGGCCCAAUUUAGGUUACCAGGCCAGAGUAGUUUGAUCGAACUACAACCGGGAACAGUCCAAAUCUCGACAUGGUUGAUCCAGAAAUUAUUUAUAAAAAAAAAAUAUUGUGUGUACCCACGGGUGCAUGGUAAAGGGAGCAGACCAGAGAGAGACGCCUGCCCUCACUUUGCUUGCAGACACCAGUCCUGAACUUGGGGACAACCUCUCCCUAAAGGCGCCACGCUCGAGUGGCCUCCGAUCCACUCCGAAGAAUGUUGGCCGGAAUCACGCGAUCCUGUCCACCUAGGCGACGAUUCCUGCUGCUAGCCAGCCGGCCCCCUAUGCCUUAGCGAGCAGGUCAAAGCUUUUCAGCAUUGAGAUCAACCAUCCAUGCCACAAGCUCCCUACUUUAGGCAGUUAGGCUCCCCCACCCUGGCCAGAGUAGUAACAACUGCUCUCGCUUCCCCUCUCUGUACGUGUGUCUGGUGGCUGCCCAUGUUUCACGUGUGGCUCCAUUUCGACCAAAGAACCGGAAGGAUUGUACAUGUGCAUGUGCUCGUCCCCUAGCAAAUCCUUCACUAGGCCGAACUCGAGACUCACCGUUGCCGAGUCCCGACGGGCGCUGAAAACUGCAGCGGCUUUCAGGCUUCCAGCAGACUCCCACGCCGGAAUCAUGGCUCACGAGCAGCAGGUUGCUGGUGCGUGUGGACACCGCCGACCCGACCGCGUGCGCGAAGAGGAUGAGGACGGAGCAGCCGAUGCGCAGCCCGCGAGUCCCCAGGGAUCCCGCCCGAUCUCCGCCCGACAUGGAGAUCGCGCGCGCCCGGUUCUCGCAGGCGCCACACCACCGCGCGCCCACACCCAUCUCCAACGCGAGGACGGCAGGGGCUGCUCGCGCGUGCUCGGCCCCGUUCCAGCAGCGCGAUCUCCCCGCGGAUCCUGCAGCUCCGUGCGCGGUCGAUGAUCCAAUCCACGGCUCCACAAGUGCGGCAGCUAGCGCAGCUCGGUUCAUGAGUAUACAAGCUUAUCCGCUGCCUGCGAAACCGUGGCCCUGGUGAUGAUCAGGAACUUUGGUCUGCGUUUCUCGGCGCACACCAUUGUUCCAAGCAGCAGGGCUAAAAUCCCAGAUUGGUGAGGUGGUGUUGGUGUCCGAGGUCUGACCGGUCAGACUUAGCUGCGCAGUGUGUUCAGGUCAAUCGGUCAAAAACAUGGUGUGCUAGCUGGGCAGCGGGGGUUGAGAGGAGGGAAUGAGGACAGCAGGAGCACAUGCCCGCGUUCAUGGGGGGCCGUAAACAGUUUCUUGAUUCAGCAGGCCGACGCGAGAGGAGGAUAGCAGUGCAACAGAUGGGAGCCUAGUCGACAUCACCACGUGUGCACGUACGCCCAAGUGGGGGAAUUGGGAAAGAUAAAACGCUAGCGCUACGUGCAGAUCAGUAUACGUAUAUGGGAUUCUGGUAAGGCUGAACGCACUAGGCGGGUCUCAAUGUGCAGUUUUAUGGUAUUAUUAUCAAAAUUGAAAACUAUGUAACUAUGCCUGUUGAGUGUCAUGGGACGAAACUCUCUCUCGUCUCGUGAAACUUCCUUAAGAACUGCUAAUUUACGGGCGAGCGCUCAUACGGUUUUCAGCGAGCAAUUCCCAACAUUACUGUAUCCUCCCGAACCUAAAGCUUUAAUUCCCGCAACUUUCUGCUUUUAGAACAUCAUAAUUUAUAUACAUAAUUUAUACACAUAAUUUCUUGUUGAUAACUUCUUACGGAAUAAUUUUGUAGCAUAACUUUUUACGACAUACACACCAUAUACCUAUAACUUCUAGGAACAAAUUUCAAAUGAUAACUUAGCAGAAAGUUAUAAUAUAUAGUUAUACGUAUAAUUUUUUCACAACAUGUUCUCACUUGAUAAUUUUGUAUCAUAACUUUCAUGUCAUAUGUAACUUAUAAAUGUAGCUUUUGUCACAACUUCCAUAAGAAAUGUUGUUAGCUAACUCAUACACGUAAGCAAUAACAGUAUAAAAAAAUAAUUGAAUAAAUAAAAAAAAUGGAAAAGAAAAAUAGAUCCCACGGUCCAACGUCUUGGACGCGAGCGCAUAUGCGUGCGCAGUCCGCCGGUGCGUGUCUGCAUUGCUUGCUAAGAGCGAUCCUAGCAAGUGAAGGAUGAACCAGCUUCACGCUUCCUCUCCUCUCUUCUUUGCCAUGUCAGCAAAGUUGAUGAUAUGGUAUAAAAUUUAAUACCAUAAAACUUCCAUUAAAAUUGGCUUUAUUAGUCUCUAUUUGCAAACAAAUGUUAUAGUUAAAUUUGAGAAACUUCGAGUAUUUAUGUACAACAAAGUAUAAAGAGCUGUCACACAAAAACACUUGUAGCUGGGUUCAUGGGAAUGAAAUUUCUUUUUGAUCCCACAAAAUUCUCCCUCAUCUCCCUCAUAAUGACACUAUCAAAUUAGCAAAAUUGCUAAUGUGAUAUGUUAUUUAAUGCUCAUGAAACUUCUAUUAGAACUGCUCUUUACAUAUCUGAACACUAGAUACUUAAGAGCGGAGGAAGUAGCACUUUUUAAUUUUUAAUUAAGUCAGAUCCGUUCACACCACACCAUUUCCAUGUGGCAUGGCAAAAGUUGUCCAGGAAAUGUUACUAUCCAAACUUCAAAAAGCAAAAGUUCCUUGCACAUGCCUUCUACCGCAAUUUUUCAUUUUAUUUACCCAAGGCAUUUAGCGAGCGCUACCUUUGGUAGACCAUGCCGACGUGCACGAAGCACUCCACCGAUCCCGCUUGGUCCCUGCAAUGGAUUUACCGAAAGCUCAGUGGCAUCGACUCCCAUAAUUCUGUCCCCGACAUGCGCGCCCACCUCCUCCUCUCUCUCGCUCGACGGGCUCGUCGCAGCUGCCCCGUGCGUCGUCGCCUUUGGGCCAAGCCAACCAAGGCUCCCUUUCCCGAGCUGGGCCUCCCCUCUGCUGCUGGUGUCGUUGCGCUUCGGGAACGCAAGGGUGCAUGUGGGCCUCGCGCUUUCUUUUUUCUAUUUUCUCGCUAGAAAAAACGAAACCCGUCGCGAACCUCUAGGCAGUACGUGUCGAGUAUGUGCGCGUGAACAAUCGGGUCGCGCGGAUCAAGAGAGAUCCUGCCAGCGGGUGCGUGCAGGGGAAUGUGCAGCCGCGACAAGUGGCGGAGUAGCAAAAUCAUUUUUCCAAGUGUUGGGAGGCAAAAGAAAAAGAAAAAGGAUCCUUGUAGCAAUAUCAGUAUACGAUUACUUGAUUAGUGUGCGUGAUCUCGGAGAGGUGCCAAGUUAAAGACGUGCAACACGUAGGUACUCGGACGUUUGCAGUACUCCCCUCAGGGCCAGUGUGAUGCGAGUGGCCACAAUGAUGCUGCCAGUGGCCGCCACACCAGACCGAUCAGCUUCGUCCCCGGAUUCUGUAGCUCUUUGGUUUCUCAAGCAAGCUCUUCUCCGAUCCAGCAGCCAAGUGUACUACUAGCCUCUGAAUCCCCAAUGGACCCAGGAGUGGAUAUCGACGCAGACUGCACACUCAAUGCGUAGCGAUGAGCUCGCCAGCGAUGCAGAAUCAGGCGAGGCAAAGCAUGGAGUCCCCGGCACCGAAAGCCCAUGCCGGGGAUCUCCCUCCCCGGCCGGCGUUGGCACCGGGACGGAGCCGAGCGGCUGGAUCCGGCACGGGCUCGUGCCCUUGCUCGCCCCAACUUGUGGGGGCGUUGUGCCCCAUGGGCCACGGCACCCGCACCACAAACACUCGCUUCGCUUCACUUGCUCUGGACUCCAGGCGCAGUCAUGACCACGUCACGCGCUCGCGGAACACGCCAUCAUGUGGGCCGCUAUGUCUACGCAUACGAGGGGAAGACCCCAUCCCCCUACACAAACUAGCUGAUAGCCCCACCACUGAAUUCUGCUUCCGCGGAGCUGCAAGCCUGAAACAGCUCAGUUCCGGGAAACAGGCUUGGAUGGGGUGCUCAUCUCAUCUCGGGACAGACGUGCAAUUCGUGACGCACGCCCCAACACCAGAACGUGCCAUCAGGCCAUCGCUUUGCGCAAAGGGGUUCUACUUAAGGCAAGAACAUGGCCUAAUGAUCUCCGUGUUGCCCUCCUCCUGCAGCAGGGGGAGGAGAGCAUUUGGAAUCUUGGCAAAUACUACUGGUUUUCUGGUCACCCGGCGGCCCCUAAAAAGGCUUAGCUAGCUAGCAAGGCAGCGGAGCGAGCCUUUCUUCUCCCAUCAUCGUUGCUCCUCCUUUUCUGCGUUCCCUGCUCUAAUGAUUUCGCUGGAGGGCCGUCGAACAGGAACAGGGGCACCUUUGCGAGUGCUAGAUGCACAUACAGGCAUACACUAGGAAGUACUAAUAGUAACGGAUAAGCCGAUGCCGAUCUCAAAUAAAGAGAGAAUUUUUUCUCUCUAGUAUAUUACGAAGGGCCUGUUUGGAUCCAAGUGCAAAUGGCAAAAGGACAAAUGGUAAAAUUUUUGCUCCUGUCACAUCAGAUGUUUGGACGCUAAUUAGAAGUAUUAAAUAUAGUUUAAUUAAAAAACUAAUUACCAUAGAUGAGUACUAAAUGACGAGACGAAUCUAUUAAACCUAAUUAAUCCAUAAUUAGCAAAAUUACGGUAGCAUUUGCCCUUUUGCAUUUUGGGGUGUUUGGAUCCAAAAGUGCAAAAAAAAGUGCAAAAGAGCAAAAGUUUUGCACUUUCUCUUUCUCUUUCCAUUGGAUCCAAACAGGCCCGAAGUUAUUAGAGAACCGCAAAAGCAUCUCGCCGCCAAGGGCACACAAGCCUCACUCGAAUAUCGUCCGAGCUCAAUAGGACGAUGAAUGGACGGUAGACCUGAACCAGCGACACGCAGGCAUACCAGAAUGUUAGGUCCAGCGUGAUUGGAUCGCGCGGCAUCACAUCUGCCCCAGCCCCACCCACUACUUAGCUAACGGCACUGUCGCAUCUCGUAUGCCCUGUUGCCCUCUCCAGAGUAGUUUUUUUUUUUUUGCUGCUAGACAACCAAAAAUUCCAAAUGGGCAGGGCCAGUGAAGCUACCGUGACGAUAGCUUUAUCCAGCAGCCCUCACGUACGAAGAAACCUUACAAAAACCAUCCAAGACCAGGUUUACGGGGACAGCACACGCACGAAAGCCUGCCACACAAGCCUCACUUUUGGGGCGGGUAUAUUCGAGGGCCUCUAUGAUCUUUUCGUCCAUCUGUGCUAGUGCUACAAGAGCAGUGGCAGCAUGAACCGCAGAGACUGAGAGACAGAGCAAUUGAGCAAGAGAAAAAAAGCGCAGCUGGAACGAAGCUCUAGCCCACGAUAAACAACUGCGGCACAGUACGCGCUCAACUGGACCACCGGCAUAGAAAAACCUCCGAGCCCAUCUGCCCGCCCGGCCGUGUGCGUGCGUGCGUGCCGACGACGGCCGGGGACUGGAGGAGCGGCCGGCGGGCCAGCUUUUUGAGGCGCAUGGCGGCCAUGGCGCCAAAAGAGUUUUUCUAACGGUGCGCCACCACCACGCCGGACCCACCGGGUAGUCCGGCCCUUCCCCCCGUACUUCCCGUGCGUCGCGCGGCAGCCGGCAGGCGAUGAUGGCCGGAGGCGCGCACGCGGGGACGUGGGGGAGCACCGGAGCACGGAGCCACCGCGCGACGGGCCGCGCCGCGCCGCGCCGCGCCGCCGCCGGCGCCCGAGCGCGAGCUUUUACCACUGUUCCCUCCCUGGUCACGACGCCGCUGCGAGUGUCCCUGCGGCUCACCGGCGCUCCUUUCCGUUCGGUCCGCGCGCCGCGACGCGACGGGCAGCUGCGCGGAGGGCGCAAGGGCGCGGCGCCCGACGCGCGGGGCGCAGGGCGGCCUGGCGGGGGCUGCAGCGGCGCAGCGCAGCGCAGCUGGGUGGGCGGUUUGAUUAUUCGGGGGCGUCCUUGGAGUCGCGUCGCAGCUUUUUGGUUGCCCUGUCGGCGUUCCGGCGUGGCGCGGCGUGCGGGAGUUUUGCUCGCUCCUCGACCUGAGAAUUUCUUUUCGUUUCUGGCUGGAGCUUUGGUUCACCGUAUGGUGUGGCGCUAGAGCGGAUCAACUAGGGCAGGGGCGUUGCAGUAGUAAACAGUCUACGUGCACCGUUAAUGCGGCUGCUUCUCACGUAAAAAAAUGAGGCUGCUUCUCCAACGGUAGGUGGACGUGUCAGUCGGAAAUGACACGUCUCAGUAACUCCGUCCAUAUGAAGAUACCAUGCCAGUCAGUUAUGGAUGCCAUGCAGCAGCAGUGGGCUGGUAGCUACGGUGCAUUCCUGUCAAGCCUUUGACAUCCAAAGUCUAUUUUUUUAAUGAAAAUUGCCCACUACUGUUAAUGUUUUAUUUUCGUCCUGAAUAUCACAUUGUGCUGGAUAGCCAAUGUUUACCCAAUGAAAUGAAGUUCUUAGUCCAAAUUUCCGUAUGGGGUAAUUUUCGGUCAGACUACCCAAAAAAAAUGUCAUUUCAAUUUCUUUGUAUAUGAUGAGGAGGUAUUUUUUUCUGAAAAAAAUAAUCUGCGAGGACAUAUGGACCCAAUUUACAUUCCUUAAACCCACGGCCCAUCUUCAUGUCGGGGGUUGUGCAGUGCCCAUCUGAUGUGUAUAAAUAAUCACACCGCGCGCCUAUGCCCACACCCCCCUCCCUCCCUCCCUCCCUCCCUCAUUGGCUCCCCCGCCUGCCUCCGCUCCACGGCGGCUCCAGCCUCCACCCACUCACCGCAGCCGCACUCUCCCUCCCGCCGCGCCGCACCACGCCGCCGGCGCCACCAAGAGCGUUCCCCGGCGGCCGCGCACACGCCGAGGAGCAAGCGGCUCGCUGGUAGCGUGUCUCUCUGACGAUCUAGGCGCAGCGGCGGCGAGCGCGCCGGCAAGAUGAUCACGGGCACGGACUUCUACCACGUCAUGACGGCCAUGGUGCCGCUCUACGUCGCCAUGAUCCUGGCGUACGGCUCCGUCCGGUGGUGGCGCAUCUUCACCCCGGACCAGUGCUCCGGGAUCAACCGCUUCGUGGCGCUCUUCGCCGUGCCGCUGCUCUCCUUCCACUUCAUCUCCACCAACAACCCCUACACCAUGAACCUCCGCUUCAUCGCCGCCGACACGCUCCAGAAGCUCAUCGUCCUCGCGCUCCUCACCGCCUGGAGCUACCUCUCCCGCCGGGGCUGCCUCGAGUGGACCAUCACGCUCUUCUCCCUCUCCACGCUGCCCAACACGCUCGUCAUGGGCAUCCCGCUGCUCAAGGGCAUGUACGGCGACUUCUCCGGCAGCCUCAUGGUGCAGAUCGUCGUGCUCCAGUGCAUCAUCUGGUACACGCUCAUGCUCUUCAUGUUCGAGUACCGCGGCGCCAGGAUCCUCAUCACCGAGCAGUUCCCGGACACCGCGGGAGCCAUCGCAUCCAUCGUCGUCGACCCCGACGUCGUAUCGCUCGACGGCAGGAACGACGCCAUCGAGACGGAGGCCGAGGUCAAGGAGGACGGCAAGAUACACGUCACCGUGCGCCGAUCCAACGCCUCGCGCUCCGACAUCUACUCGCGCCGCUCCAUGGGCUUCUCCAGCACCACGCCGCGCCCCAGCAACCUGACCAACGCCGAGAUCUACUCGCUGCAGUCGUCGCGGAACCCCACGCCGCGGGGCUCCAGCUUCAACCACACCGACUUCUACUCCAUGGUCGGCCGCAGCUCCAACUUCGCCGCCGGGGACGCCUUCGGCGUGCGCACCGGCGCCACGCCCAGGCCGUCCAACUACGAGGAGGACGCGCCGGGGAAGGCCAACAAGUACGGCCAGUACCCGGCGCCCAACCCGGCCAUGGCGGCGCCUGCCAAGGGGCCCAAGAAGGCGGCCAACGGGCAGGCCAAGGGCGAGGACGGCAAGGACCUGCACAUGUUCGUCUGGAGCUCCAGCGCGUCGCCCGUGUCCGACGUGUUCGGCAACGGCAACGCCGAGUACAACGACGCCGCCGCCGUCAAGGAGGUCCGCAUGGCCGUUGCCUCCCCGCGCAAAGGUAGCGUCGUUUAUUUUUUUUCCCCCACUCGCCGCCUUGUUCCGCUCUGCGCGGCGCCGCAUGCUCAAACUUCCCUUCUGUGCUUGGACGACCAGUUGCGGCGGACGGGAGGAAGGAGAGGGGCGAGGACUUCGCGGAGCGCGACGACUUCAGCUUCGGGAACCGGGGCGGCGCCGAGAGGGACGCUGAGGCCGGCGACGAGAAGGCGGCGGUGGUCGGGCAGGGGAAUGCCGGCGCGGGGGCGCCCGCGGCGAUGCCGCCGACGAGCGUGAUGACGCGGCUCAUCCUCAUCAUGGUGUGGCGCAAGCUGAUCCGCAACCCCAACACCUACUCCAGCCUCAUCGGCCUCAUCUGGUCGCUCGUCUGCUUCCGGUAACUACUGAUCACUCCGCCGGCGACGCCCCGUUAAUCAAUCGUUCACUAAUCUGCUCGCCUGGCAUGCAGAUGGAACUUCGAGAUGCCGGCGAUCAUCCUCAAGUCCAUCUCGAUACUCUCCGACGCCGGCCUCGGCAUGGCCAUGUUCAGCCUCGGUCCGUGCAUCCAUCCGCUCUAUCCUCUCCGGACGGACGCCAGUCCACCUAUGGAACAGUAGGUGGAUCUUGCGCUCCCGAGUCACUGACUGACAACACCGCGACGUCGCUUUCCCCGUGCAGGGCUGUUCAUGGCGCUGCAGCCGCGGAUCAUCGCGUGCGGGAACAAGGUGGCGACGUUCGCCAUGGCCGUGCGGUUCCUGACCGGCCCGGCCGUCAUGGCCGCCGCCUCCUUCGCCGUCGGCCUCCGCGGCACGCUCCUCCACGUCGCCAUCGUCCAGGUAAAAAACCAAACCCGAACCACACCAAAAAACCUCACGACCAACCGACCAACCGCACAAACGAACCACAGGCAUGCCACUGACAAGAACCGCCUUUUGAUUCAAAAAAAAAUCCGAAAGAAAGAAGCAAACAGCCUUCAAGUGGCCGGCCGGGCAUGCCGGAUCGAUAUGCCCCCUGUGCCGGUAAAGCCCGGCACAGCUCGCUUUCCCUUUAGACUUUUGCACGCCCAACCAGCACCGAGGCGCCUGAAACGCCUCGCCCUUCCCCCCCUCCUCGCCGCCUCUCUUUCUCUCUCUCUGACUGACGCUCGUUUUGUUCUACUCCGACGACGCGCAGGCCGCGCUGCCGCAGGGCAUUGUCCCCUUCGUCUUCGCCAAGGAGUACGGCGUGCACCCUGACAUCCUCAGCACGGCGUAAGCGCUCGACCUUGUGCUCCGUCCAUCUCGCAGCAGGGAGGACGCCGGGAUUCUCGGCCUCCGCUGCUCGCUUUGCCUCUGGGGUUUUUGUCUCACCUGCUGUUUGUGGUUUGCAGAGUCAUCUUCGGCAUGCUCAUCGCGCUGCCCAUCACGCUCGUGUACUACAUCCUGCUGGGGCUGUGAGAGAAAAGGCGCGACAAGGUUGCAGGCCGGUCACAGCUCAGCGAUGCCGGGUGGAUGGAGUAGGAGACAGGGGAGGAGACAAAGGGUGCUGCAGCGGCUGCGCGUGCGUGCAGCGCAGGUUGGCAUGCAUGGAGGAGAUUAAUCUGUAGGAGUACUAUUCUUAGCUGUAGAGAUUUAGAGGCCACAAAGAAAUGUUUGGGACAAGAGCUGGGCUGGAGGAGGGCGGCAAGGGCAUGUGCAAAAGCUUUGGGAUGGCACGGUUUGCAAAGCAUCCGGAUGCUCAGGUUAUGGGUUUGUGAUGGGAGGGUUUUCCAUGGAUGGUUGGGCUGGCCUUGCCUUGUAAAAUGGAUGCAUGUCACUUUGAUGGAAUGCUAGAGCUCUCUUGCUCAUCUUAGCCUAUACUACUUCGGAAUGGCAGCAUGCAUGUUUUUGUUAAUCCCAUGCUUCAGUAACAGUGUUUGACAUGAAAAUGGAGUGGUGGUAACUCCAGUAACCAUUUUCACAGCAUUCGACAUGAGCCAAUUUUGUCUCUAAUCCUUCCUGAAUAAACUCUUCUUGUGCAAUUGGGUUAGGAUAUGCUCAGGGCUUCAGAACAAAAUCCAUUGGGUGGGGAGAAAAAUACAAAUCCUAUACUCAGGUCUAAUGAUUAAAAGUGUAAAAGUUCUCUGGGAAGUAGAUGUCAUUAAUUUUUCAAAAGUAAUUCAAAAUGUAUUAUAUUUGUAGUGCUGUCUUACCUCAACUGAGUCUUGUUACCCUCUGUCCGGGCUUGGCUAGCUCUUCCAAAUCCUAAUUUAAUUUUCCCUUGUAACUUUGAAAGAAAGUACACAGACCACAUUACGCCAAGUUUCAUGUGUAUUGUUGGAGUGCUAUUGAAUAUGACCACAAAUUGUGUUUCACACUUUCACUAUUUUAAUUGUCUCGCUGAUUGUUAACAUCAUCCAAAGCGGACCGAACAAAUAGAUUCGUCUUCUUUUUAAUGGAAAAUAUGUUCUUAAGCGAUAUUAGAGGCCUAAAUUGUGGCUAGCAGCCGGCUUGAUUAUCCGCUCACACAAUCCUUUAGAGUGAAGCUAAUUGGUCUCAGAAAGAAAGACUCAGUGUGAACAUGUGUUGCCGAGAAUUGUUAUGAAGCGUGAACGGGGGUAUGUUUGAAUGUCAUAGAUUCUUAUCACAUAGCCAAUUUAGUCAUUCCUUUUCUUGUCACUUUUUACAAGACAUCCGAAGCACUAAAAGAUUCAAGAUAGCAACAUCAUAGGCUUUAGUUAGGAUUGCAUAUCUACAUAAGAUCCAUAAAUUAGGUUUCAAGAAGAAUAUCACUUAUUUCGGUAGUUGUAAUGUCUUCCAUUAAAUUCCUUGUGGAUUGACGAUGUACGGAAAUUAGAUAAACUAACGUAUCAACAUGAGCUUCUGCACGACUAGUAACUGUAAGGAACAUAGUUUCUAAAAAUAACAUGGAUUAAUAUGGAGUGCACAACUAGCUUGAUUGUCUACUCAAAAUUCAUCAACUACAACAGAGAGUGAAGCCAGUCGGUCUUGGAACAACUCAAUGUGAACUUAUAUGGUGCACUAUAUGUUGCUGAGAAUAGUUGUGAAGUGUGAACGGAGGGAUAUAUAUCAAUAUCAUAGCAUUCUCAAUCACUGAACUUAUCAGCCAUUCCUCUACUUAUAUCCCCCUCCUAUUCUUUAUGUAGGGGUAUUAGGAUUUGAAAAGUUCAAACUUUGUACUGACCAACAAUUAUUUAAAUUAUAUGCAUGCGUAGUGUCUAAAUCUUGUACCAAUAUAUUCAUAUUUCACAUAUCUUUGAUAUGAUAUUGAUUGUAAAAAUUGAUACUAUACUUUAAUAGAAAUUAAUGAUCAAAACUUUGUUCCUGAAGGCUUUUUCAAAUGCUAAUACGCCUUACAUAAAGAAAAAGGAGGGAGUAGCUUUUCAUGAGACAUCCUCACCGAUUUGUUGAAUCGCCAAAAGAUUCAAGAUAACAGCAUUAUACACGAGAGUUAUGAUUGCUUAUUGACAGUACCUUUCUAGAGAAUGUCAAUAAAUUCCAAAAUCCAUUUCGUCGCCCAGUAGCUAUGACCGUUUUUUUAAUCGGUACUGCAGUAGCUCUUUGGUUAGGUAUUGGAGCAACAUUACCCAUUGAUAAAUCCUUAAUUUUAGGUCUUUUUUAGGGAUUUUUCGAGUUGAUUCAUUCAACCGCGAAGCCCCCUGCAUGGGUAUCUAGGAAAUAGUUACUUCCAAGUGAAUCUUCCCUAGAUACCUAAAAUCUAUUUUAUUAUGAUCCAUUUCGCGAAAAUAUAGAUUGUGCCAAAGAUGCAAAAUUGCUUUUUUUCUUUUUAUUCUAACUCAAAAAAAAAGAGGAAAAAUUGCAAUAGAUUUAAAGCGAGAACUUGUUCUUAGGUAAAUCAGUUGGGAGAUGCUUCUCUAGAGUGUCCCAUAUCAGUUUUCCAUCUUCCAUACGAAAACUGU
rnacentral:lncRNA from 1 species